UCCACUCACUCUAACGUUAUUAAAUGUUUUCCCCUGGGCCCUCGUUUUAAAUUGCCCAGUCUGCAGAGUUCGGGUUGGAUCUAGUAGGAGACGAGGCAUAGUCACCCGCUUUUCGGCUAGUUUUCAUCAGUAGGUUACCUGUUCAACCUACUCGUGUUUUCUUGCUUCCGCUUGUGUUUAGUAGCUCUGAAUACUUUAGAAUUUUUGUAUAUUAUGUGAUGUUCAGAAGUGUAAUAUGAAAUUUUCGAGUUAGGGUUGUCCAUCUACAAGGGAGAUUUUCUUAAUCUUUUCAGUAAAUUUUCCUUGGAGGUGGUCCCCGCACGACUUAUUCUGGGUUUCAGGGUGAAAUUCGGGGUGGGUCGUGUCAGUUGGUAUCAGAGCUAUAGGUUUCCUUUUCCUGCUUCCUUGUCACUAUCACAUGUGCCUAAGUAGCAUGUAGUGUCUAUAGAGUGAUGAUCCGACCGCGGCGGAUUCAUUGGCAUUUUAUGCUUUUGAUACUAUGUGUUAUUGGGUAUAUGUGAUUAUUGUGUUAGUCUUGUUAUGGACUACUAAAUUUCUUCUUCCUCAGGUACUAUGCCUCCUAGGCGCCCACGGCAACCCCGUGUGGCUACUUCGACCAAUGCCGAAGAGGGCAAUGAGGUCAGGGGACUAGUUGAUGAUAUUGGAAAUAUCCUGAGGGAUGUCAUGGAUCGGGCUCCACGCCCUCCUACUGUAAAAAGGAGAGAAGUUUUUGAAGCUGGAGCCAGAGAGUUCAAGGGUGCCAAGGGACCCCUUGAUGCUUAUACUUGGGUGGACAAAAUGGAAAAAGCUUUUGUGAGCACAGAGUUGCCAGAUGAAAAGAAGGUGAAGAUGGCAGUAACUUUCCUGGAUGAUUCAGCACAUCACUGGUGGUCGCUUGCCAGCAGGAAUGUUGAGGAUGCGCUGAAUAUGUCGUGGGAACAGUUUAAGACUCUUUUCUUGGGGCAAUAUUUCAGUCCUGCCCAUCGCAGCAGAAUCAGUCAGAUUNNNNNNNNNNNNNNNNNNNNNNNNNNNNNNNNNNNNNNNNNNNNNNNNNNNNNNNNNNNNNNNNNNNNNNNNNNNNNNNNNNNNNNNNNNNNNNNNNNNNNNNNNNNNNNNNNNNNNNNNNNNNNNNNNNNNNNNNNNNNNNNNNNNNNNNNNNNNNNNNNNNNNNNNNNNNNNNNNNNNNNNNNNNNNNNNNNNNNNNNNNNNNNNNNNNNNNNNNNNNNNNNNNNNNNNNNNNNNNNNNNNNNNNNNNNNNNNNNNNNNNNNNNNNNNNNNNNNNNNNNNNNNNNNNNNNNNNNNNNNNNNNNNNNNNNNNNNNNNNNNNNNNNNNNNNNNNNNNNNNNNNNNNNNNNNNNNNNNNNNNNNNNNNNNNNNNNNNNNNNNNNNNNNNNNNNNNNNNNNNNNNNNNNNNNNNNNNNNNNNNNNNNNNNNNNNNNUAGUAGGAGACGAGGCAUAGUCACCCGCUUUUCGGCUAGUUUUCAUCAGUAGGUUACCUGUUCAACCUACUCGUGUUUUCUUGCUUCCGCUUGUGUUUAGUAGCUCUGAAUACUUUAGAAUUUUUGUAUAUUAUGUGAUGUUCAGAAGUGUAAUAUGAAAUUUUCGAGUUAGGGUUGUCCAUCUACAAGGGAGAUUUUCUUAAUCUUUUCAGUAAAUUUUCCUUGGAGGUGGUCCCCGCACGACUUAUUCUGGGUUUCAGGGUGAAAUUCGGGGUGGGUCGUGUCAGGUAUGCUAGCACUAUUCUAGUUUAACAUUACGCUCAUCUAACAUGAGCCUAACAACUAUGAAAUCUAGAAUAGAACUUAGGCAGAAAUAAGUACCUAAAACUUUGAAUAAAAGAAAAUAUUGUAUAUAGCCAAGCUAAAUACUUAUAGGCUCCUUACAAACGUAAGAAAAUUUGGCUCCUUAUAUAAGGAAAGAAAUUUGGAACAUCUUGAACCUACAGUGAAAAUCACAAGCCCAUGAUGCCUUUGAUUCAUAGCAAAGCCUGUAGUUGGUGUGAGCUCAAGGAAACCCAGCCCUUGAUUCCAGCCCAGACAACAGUCACACUACCAGCCAACCUCCAAGGCUGGGAAUGAGAAGAUGAGAGAUUCCAUAAGUUUAUGUACUAAGGACGACGUGAUUGGCUUGUCUGGGUUUGAAACUUUGGCACACUUUUCUCUUUUUUCUCGUGUUCAAGCUUUUCAUAAUUAGGGAGUUUUUUUUUUUUUCACAAAUACUCAUGUGGCAGUUUUGUGGGAUACAUAUGGCGCCACAUAAUCAUCAGUAGGGUCGAACCUGAGGCGAGGUCUAAAAAUGAUGUCUUCUAACACGCCAGAAUUAAAAAAAAAAAUCAUAGUUGAAAGAGAAACAAGAGACCACUACAAAACCGAGAAUUUUAACAUCACUGCUCAUCAUCAUCGCCAACAUCAAACUUUUCUCUCUCCCUUCUCUUCUCUUCGAAACCCAAUCAUAUCUCUCCUUUUUUUCUUUUAUUCAAAAACCAAAAACCCAAACAACUCCGACCAUUUCUCUCCUCUGUUUUUCAUUCAAAAACCCAAAACUCAAUCAGCUCCAACCAUUUCUCUCCUAUGUUUUUCAUUCAAAGACCCAGAACCAAAAAACCUAUAAGCUUUAAGCUUUAGCUUCUAUGGAGGAUCGUCCUUCUUGCUCACGGCAGCUGCUAGCUUUUGGUGCCCUGAGAAUUUUUGGGCCUGAGACAGUUGCCUUUUCGGCCUCACCUUAGAUCCGGGCCAGAUCAUCAUAUAUCAGACAUAUUAGUUGUUUAUAACCAUGUCAGCACUUGACAUAUUUUUUUAACAGCCUUGUUCAUCAAGGUAUGAAUUUGUCUAACGGAAUAAAGCUCGGGUAUGAAAACGCAAAUGUGGUAUGAAUUUGAAAGUGGCCCUAUAGUUCGGGGGGUCUUAUGUAAUUAAUUCUUUAUGGUAUUAAGUGCAUUGUCAUUUAUGGUGACAAUUGUAUGAGAAUUAGCUGCAUAAUCAAAUGCAUGUAUUGACAUAAAUGUGCAUCUAUAUAGUAAUGAAUCUGGAAUAAAUUGGUAACUUAUAUAUGAGAAAUUUAUAGUUGUAUAAUGAAUUGGCAUAAAUGCGCAUCUAUAUAGUAAUGAGUGUUGGCAUAAAUGCGCAUAUAUAUAGUGAUGUAUCUGGAAUAAAUUGGCAAUUUAUGUAUGAGUAAUAGGUGCAUAAUCAUACGUAUGUACAGUAAAGCCGUUAUAAAUGAAUAAUGUUGGGACCACGAAAAUUAUUACUUUAAAGAGUUAUUAUAUUAUUGGUAAAUAAAUAAUUACUCAUUUAAAUUGAUAUUAAUUACUUUAUAGAGAGUUUUGUUGUUAAGAGUUUCUUUAUAAUUCAGGGGGUCUUAUGUAAUUAAUUAUACUAUAAAUAGCUAAAUACAUGACUUCUGUUUUACACUCACAUUCAUGAAACAUUACAAUCUGUUAAUUUUUAAUCACCUCUCUGUAAUCAAUUAUCUGAGAAAAGUAGUACUCAGCAUGGAGACAUGGUUGCUCAUCCUCAGCUCCAUCUUUAUCUCUAUGUUCCUCAUGUUAAUUCUCUCUGUCCAUCCCAAGACGAAGCAGCUUCCGCCAGGACCCUUUACCAUCCCCAUAAUCAGCGGCUUUUUAUGGCUCCGCAAACCCUUCACGGAGCUUGAGCCAGCCAUCCGGAAUAUCCAGGCCCACUACGGCCCAAUUAUCACCGUCCAAAUUGGCUCCCAGCCCUCCAUCUUCAUCUCCAGCCGCUCCUUGGCCCACCAGGCCCUGAUCCAAAACGGCGCUGUCUUCGCCGACCGCCCACCAGCCUCGGCCACCACCAAAAUAUUCAGCAGCAACCAACACGAAAUCAACUCUGCCCCUUACGGCCCCACGUGGCGCCUUCUUCGCCGCAACCUCACCUCAGAAAUGCUCAACCAUUCUCGCUUGAAAUCCUACAACGGGGCUCGCAAAUGGGUCCUCAACAUCCUCGCCAACCGCCUAAUGAAAUCUCAAUCCAAAUCGAACGGAGUCAAAGUCAUAGACCAUUUCCAAUACGCCAUGUUCUCGAUGCUUGUACUUAUGUGUUUUGGUGAUAAACUUGAUGAGAAGCAAAUAAAUCAAAUACGACAUCUCCAAAGACCGCAACUGCUGACUAAUGGCCGGUUCAACAUUCUCAAUUUUUGCCCUUCAAUCACGAAAAUUGUAUUGAAGAAGUGGUGGGCGGAGUUCCUCCAGUACCGAAAAGACCAAGAAGAUGUCCUAGUCCCUCUAAUUAGAGCCCGGAAGGAGGCCAAGGUAAAAGAGGAGGGUGAAAAUUAUGUGCUAUCUUACGUCGACACGCUCUGUGGUCUUGAGCUUCCUGACAAGAAGAGGAAGCUGACUGAAGAUGAAAUCAUAAGCCUAUGUUCAGAAUUUAUGAAUGCAGGUGUAGAUACUACUACAACUGCAUUACAGUGGAUCAUAGCAAACAUUGUCAAGUAUCCAACGGUUCAAGAGCAGCUUUUUGUAGAGAUUAAAGGAGUUGUGGGGGAAACAGAGGAGGUGAGAGAGGAGGUCUUGCAGAAGAUGCCUUAUCUACAAGCAGUAAUCUUGGAGGGGCUGAGGCGCCACCCGCCGGCCCAUCUUUUGAGUCCGCAUUCUGUCACACAAGAUAUCAUUUUGGGAGGUCAUGUGGUGCCUAAGAAAGGCACGGUCAAUUUUUUGGUGGCGGACAUGGGGUGGGACCCAGAGGUGUGGGAGAACCCUAUGGAUUUUAAGCCGGAGAGGUUUUUGAAUAACGGAAAUUAUGAGUUUGAUAUAACUGGGAGCAAAGAGAUUAAGAUGAUGCCGUUUGGGGCUGGGAGAAGAAUUUGCCCUGGCCUUGGUUUAGCGUUGCUUAAUCUCAAGUAUUUUGUGGCGAAUUUGGUCUGGAAAUUCGAGUGGAGAGGUUUAGAAGGAGAGCAUGUUGACUUGACUGAAAAGCAAGAGUUUACCAUGGUCAUGAAGAAUCCAUUGAAGGCUCACAUUUCACCAAGAGUCGUGAAAUGAAUAAAGGGUUCUUGCUUCUAGUGUGUUAUUAACUUAUUAUGAGUUAAUUUUAUGAAAUUGUACGCAAGGGUGGUUUUGAUAUAUUAGAGAUAUGAGGGCUGAGAUGAAUAAUUAAAAUAAUGGUUAUUUUUAAUGGAAAUGUGCCAAGACUUUUUUUUUCAACAAGGUAAAAAGAAAACACACUCAAAUUGUGGUGACAUAACUAAGCAGGCAAGCUAGUACGUGCACCCGUCCUACAUCGCCCGGGGGAGACAAGUUGCCAUGUUUAUAUGUGCAGAACUAGCACCUUACAUUGAGACGCGUUUUGGGGUGAAACCUCAAGAACAAAACCGUGAGGGUCGUUGGGCCCAAAGCGGACAAUAUCUCAAUGGAUUGGGCCGGGCUGUUACACAAAUUACAAAAGCCCUAUUACAACCAACACCUAGGGAGUCAAAAUAGAAAGAAGGACUAGUUGCAAGAGGAAGGGAUUUCUUCUAAGCCUGCGUUCCAAGUUGAUGUCCCAACUUUGCAAUAACAUUAGCCACAAAAUUCGCUUCUAGAUGAAUAUGUGUGAAAGAUACUUGACCAAUAAGGUGCCAAGACUUUAUUAGUUGAUCGAGCUAGUAGUAUAAACACAAUUCACCCAUGAGGGGUGUCAAAAUAAAUUGUUUCAUAGAGGUCAGUACAAACUAAGGCAUGAAUAUAAUGCAUGCUAUUUUGAAAUAGAGUGAAGUAGAAGUAGUAAUUGAUUGAUGUAUAGGGAGUUCAAAACAUGGUGCCGCAAAAGUGAUAGUUGUUGAGCAUGUAAUAUGACAUAUACAUAAUAUUAUAUAAAAUCAUUUAAUUGAUGCUUAAAUUAUUUUAUUGUGAUAUCUUAGCCUUUGUAGAUUACUAGCAGAAGACAAAAUUCAUAUUUCUCUUAGCAAUGGAAGAGGAGUCUUUGAAUGCUAAGUUGCAAAAAAAUUGCUAAUAUCGUGCCUCAAACAUGGAAGAAGAGUUGUAGUUUAAUCAUUCGUCGGUGAGUCGCGGCCUGAUUGGUUAAGAUGUUAACUCUAGAACUUUUAGUUAUUAUUAUUUUUCUCUAAUUUACUAGAAACAAUAAGUAAUGGCUUAAUUUGGUUUGCAAGGAUUAGAGGGCAACAACCAUGAUUGAAUCUAAUUAACUUUUAAGAAAGCAGUUAGUUAGUUAGCUAAUGCCCUAAUUAUAAAUCUGGUUAUUUAUGAUAUAGGGGAUCGAUGAAGAAAUGUUUGAUGUUUUGGAAAAUAUGUUUAUCCAUUAAUAGCUCUAGUUGCACUUGGAACACAAUGAGGUAAAGCUCCAAGCUUCUUUUGGGUUAGUCAUAUUUUUUUUGUGUAAUGUUUUUCUUUAUAUUUGAUGAUGCAUCAUGCUUUUGUUUGUUUUGAAUUCGUUUAGUUUCUAGUAUUCUUUAGACAAACUUUAUUGACAAAUCUCUAAAUACAUAAUACACACCCUAAUUUUUCUACAAAAAAACAUAUAUAUUAGAAAAGAAAAUUAAAUUAAAAAUUAAUAUUUUUUUAUGAAGCCCGCACGGGCAAAAAAAAAAAGUGAUAUACGGAAUGUCUCUGUUCAAAACUUGUGUUUGUGAUUCUUGUUUAUUUUUCAAUAUUUGGUUGAUAUGAAUUUUGAUGUAUACGUAGGUUUAACUACGCUAGCUACCUAAAAGAGCCAACAACAUGAGUAACAACUAUAGACGUUCAUGACACAUAGUUCAUUACAAGACCGACUACUUAUAAGUCGUUCCUCCUGCUCUUUGAUACUUUAUAGUAAUAAAGUUCUAUCAGAUUCAGUAAGUGAAAAAUAAAAUACAACGCAACCAGAAUAUCAGAGCGAGGUAUAAAAUUGAUCCACUCUACCUAGAAUGUAGAACAUGUUCAUGAAAUAUGAACGAAUUGGCAAAAAAAAACUACGAGUGAUGCAGUGAAGCUAUUUUUGAUUAAUUUUCAAGGAAACUUAGAAGGGUGAUAAUAAUAGUAUACAGUACUUGUAAAAAUGUUCAUUUCGAUAUAUGCCUAUUUACUAUGUCGGUAGAACUUACUGUCAGUACUUGUCUUUUUUUUCAGCUCCAAGAGAUGGAAGUUUAACCAUAUAAUUCUAGAGAGCUUAUGGACUUCACUGUUGUUUCAGAUUUUGACUGGCCUAGGUUUCCAGAGGUUGAUAUUACCCUUCCUGAAGAGAUGGUAUGCAUUUCUAACUUUUAGUCGAAAAAAGUUCAUAUUGCUACAGUUUGUUGAAAAAUCUUUUUGUGUUUGAUUUUCGAUGUGGUCCAAAUUAGGAACGGAGUCGAAAGGCUUUUGAAGACAUGUACAAAUCUGAAACAACAAAACUUAAGAGACUUCGUUGACCUUAUUCAUUGGGGACAUGCAUUCUUAAUGCCACGUUUGAUGGACGAGACAUGCAUUGAAUUAAUUGCUUCAGUUCCUCAAAUAAGUUAUGUCAAUCACUUUUAUGGAGGUUUGUUUAUGGAAAUUGUUGCAUAAUGUCUGCUAACUUUUGUUAGCUGUUCACUAAUUUGUUCGUCAUUUUUUCAAGCUGUUUGAUAAAAUUACAUUUUUGAAUAUGUUGCGUUGUUGAUGCUGUUCAAUGAUGUAGAUAAGUUGAGCCGUUCAGAAAUAAAGGCUCGCUUGGGCAUUACUGGUGAUGUCUUCGUUAGUUUGGUCAAUUCUCUGUCACGCAUCAAGUGCAAACUUAUAGAUAUGGCGCAAACUGGAGAUCUAGUUGUGUUCAACUCUGAGUUCAGUGUGAAAAUUAAUAGACUUCAGGUUUGCCAUAUCUAUCAUUUUCCAUAUCAUUUGCUAUUAUAUAUUAGAAAUAUACUAAUUUCAAUUUUCCCUAUUUUAGCUCCUUUCCCACAAGUUGAUCGAUAAGAAGAAGGUGAUAAAAAAAGUUGAUAUGCAGAGGACUGAUAUGAUAGAUGCAGCACUUGUGCACAUUGCGAAGAGUAAAAAAGUUAUCGGUAAUACUGAAUUGAUCAAGGAAUGUCUCGAAGAACUAGAAGGUUUUUAGUUACAUAUUCAAUAUUAUGCUCUUCUUAAUGGAUAACUGCAACUUUCCAUAAGGUUUGUAUCAGGAUGUCCUAUUUGCAUUGGUUUGUGUCAAUGUGUCAUAUCUGCAUUUUCCUUUUCUUUUCUUUUUUUUUGUUGUUCUCUAAUUUCAUUACAAGUUUGAAAAAGAUGCUUCCUUGUUGUGGUUAAUGUAGUCGUUUCGGCUUAGUUUCUCUAAUUUUCCUUCUCUUUUUUGGCUUUGAUCAACUCAGAAAUAAUAACAAAUGUAAUCAUGAGAAUGAUAUGAAAAAAUUAGAUAGUUUUCAGUCAUGUAAAUGUGGCAGCCAAGUAUUAUAUAUGAACACUAUUUUCUUAAUUAUAUGUUAUAGUCACACACAUAUUUAGUUUCGGCAUAAUGAAACUGCAGCCCAGUAUCGAAGUGAUCGAGACACGGAUUAAAUAUCUGGUUGGACGUGAAUACAUAAAGAGAGUUUCUCAGGGGGGAGCGUCUAAAGUGACUUACCAUUACAUUCCGUAGAUUGCUCGAAGCGGUAGUGUUCUGUGAUGUGGUAGCAUUGUUUCGUCGAAGCAACUUUAAUUGAUGGUCUGAGAGCUUGUACUCUUAUUUCUAUAAUGAUUUGGUAUAGAGAUUUUGAUAAGGAGCAUUAAUUGUGUGAUCUAGUAGCAUUUUAUUUUUGUCUAGAGACUUCAACAGAUGGUUUGAGAGAUUUGUUUUGCUGUUUUGGUAUUAAGGAGUGUGAAUGAUAAUUUUGGUACAGUUAAAAGAUUUAUCAUCAGAUGUUGGUAAAUGUUCCGCUUACCUGGCAAAAUUGGUUAGUUCUUCUUGUGACGUUUUAUUGUUUGUUCCAUAUUCAAGGGGAAGACCAAAAGAAAAAGAAAAAGGAGAUAUUGACGUUUUUUUCCCUAUCUUUCUUGGUCUUGGAUCAGGAUAGAGGCUGAACAAAUUGUCUUGAUCAAAUGUAAGUUUCUCAUUUCAAGUUUUCAACUCAUUUUGGAUGAAAAUCAGAGACAUGAUAUUAUAUAUUACAAUUGAAAAUCAACACAAUAUUCAUGAUUCAUGUUCAAAUAAGGGAGUUUUUAAAAUUAUAUCCAGCAUAUAUAAGCCAUGUUUGAAUGAGAAAUUACCUUAAUGGUUAUUCUAUGUAUUUAUAUAUAGUUUUAUAACUAGCAAAGAAGCACAUCAAUCUAUAUAACCCCUGCUUCAACUGGCAUGUAACCAUCAAUAAAAUAUUCCACAUGGCUUAGUAGACAAAUUUUGGGAUCCGAAAUUAGCAUGAUUCAAUUUUGUGAGAGGAAUUCCCAGCAUAUAUGAAUUUACAAGAUAGUUUCCAUAUUUGCAGCCUAAAAAGAGAUUAAGUUGUAAUACUGAUCAGCAUGGCUGGUCAUGAAAUUCUUAAAGCCUGAGGCGAAGAAAAAAAAAUGUGGCCUUGUAAACAUAUAUACAUUUUUUUGUAAUAAAUUGCUAUAAAAAAUAAUGUGUUGUUUCCAUAUUUACAGCCUAAAAAGAGAUUAAAUUGUAACACUAAUCAAGAUCAGCAAGGCCGGUCAUGAGAUUCUUAUAGCCUGAGGUGAAGAAAAACAAUGCAGCCUCUUAAACAUAUAUACAAUUUUUUUUUUUGCAAUAAAUAGCUAUAAAAAUAUAGCAAACCACAUAUACCUUUUCUAAAAAGAUUUGAAACACAAAAACAUCUAUUUAUAAUUUUAUAUUGUUUUUAAACAAAUAAGGACAGACUGUUUUCUGUUUUAUCAUGUGUCAUAGUUUAAUUUAUCAAACUAACCUUAUACAUAUUAAAUUAAAUUAAAUCACACCCCAUCACGUCUUCUUUUAGCUGCUAUUAGACUUGCUGAAAUGUUGUUGCUACUGUCGAUUGGAAUGUUGCUGCUACUCAAUUGAAUUAAAGCUGCUACUAUCUACUGAGAAACUCAUUUUAAGUUAUGCUACUGCAAUCAUGUUCUGCUAUUUUGCUACUGCACUCCCCAAACUCGUAUUUGUAUUGUUGUGCUACUACAUUAUUACUCGUUCGAGUCUGCUACUGUACUCAUCAUUAUUACCCAGUCAUCAUCCCUGCUACUUGUCAUUGAAUACAUCAUCCCUACUACUGCACUCAUCUCAUGUUGCUGUGCUACUACACUUAUUAUACUCAAGUUCUCAUCAAUUUCAAAAUGGAGCAACCUUGAGAGCAACCAUGUUAAAUGCUCAUCUAUCCCCAAAUAUCAUAACCUACAUUUAUACCCAUUACCCCAUACUAUUACUCCAAGCCUCUCAACCCACACGCUAGCUCACAUGCACUACCUUAACCAACACCAACAUUUCUUUCUCUCUGAAGUAUCAAACUUCUUCUCCUAAUACAUAAUAGCUGCCUUUUGCUUAAUUUUCACAUUGGUUCCACUCAUCGUCGUCCCUUCAAACCAAUCGGAAAGGUCAUCGGCAAAGAAGGCAUCCAGAAGUUUCAUGAAGCGUGCAAGGCUUCCAUCAAUUGCCAAUGUCAUGAACCCAUAUCUGAUAUCAUCACCAACUUGAUCCAUGAACCGAGGUGCGAUCUCAAGUUGGCUUGAGGCAUCUUAGCCCCUUGAGCCCAGGUAACCGAGGUGCGAUCUCAAGUUAGCUUGAGGCAUCUCAGCCCCUUGAGCCCAGGUCGAGCUAUCCUCAUAUCACAGAUUUGUCGAGAGAGAGAGAGAGAGAGAGAGAGAGAGAGAGAGAGAGAGAGAGAGAGAGAGAGAGAGAGAGAGAGNNNNNNNNNNNNNNNNNNNNAGAGAGAGAGAGAGGAGAAUCAGAUCAUCAGUUUGGGAAGAAAAGGAAUACAUUGUGGCAAUGUUGUGAUUUUGUUGUAAAUUUGACCAUUUUGGUAAUUUUUAGGCUUUCUGUUGUUGGAUUUGGCCCCACACGCAUGUCAUUUUUUGUUUAAAUCUUUUGAAAAGUAGGUUUUUUGACUCCAUACUCCAUCAUGACCCAAAUCUCAUUUCUCUUACAUCGUCUAUCUGAUAUGAACAGUUUAGAGCAUCUCCCAUGGUAAGCUAAAUUCUUAGCCAAAUUUAACCUAUAAAACAAGAAUAUUCUGUGGAAUCUUUUUUUAGCUUACCAGAGUUUCCCACCGUAAGCUAAAUCCUUAGCCAAAUUUAUAGCCUUUUGGCUUUAAAAAACACUCCCACCAUAAGCUAAAUCCAAAGGUAAAGCCAUUUGUUUUUCUUUUCUCAUAUGUUUGUUUAAAUCAAUAAUUACUCAUAAAAAAAAUAUUAUAUAAAUAUAUUCGAUAUGGAGCUCAUAUGAAAGAUCUCGUCGAGAUCAUCGUGAUGGUUGUAAGUAACGAAUUUUUAAUUUUGAUGAUAGUGUAAAUUAAAAGGAGAAAUGUAAAGUUAAAUAAAAUAACAUUUAAUUUUAGCUUACAAACUUCAUAAACCAAAUUUGGCUUACCAAAUAGCUCAAGCCAAAUUUUUUAUCUUGGAAAAUGUAAUUUAGCUUAUGGUGGGAGUAAACAUAGGCUAAAUUUGGCUUUUCAGCCUAUGGUGGGAGAUGGUCUUAACCUAAUGCCACUGUCUAUCUCAUUUCUCCUACAUCGUCUAUCUUAUUUUGUUUCCUCUGAAGACCCCAAGUGCCAUCCUACCAUCCCUAAUGCCAUUUCCAACCGGCAGCUGAAUUUCUCGAACCUCCUCCUCUGCUAAAAGGAGAGACAUAAUCAUCAACGAUUCACCUCUGAGUCUAUACAUCAACCAAUGAAGCCCUCCAUUCAACAAGAUAGCAUGGAAACUUUUUGGGUUAUUGUAAGGAAUAGCUUGUCAAUCCUUCGCCAAGAAUUAGUUUUCAAGGAAUAGAUAGACAUGAAACACAAUUAGAAGAUCAAGAGGAUCAAUCAUAUUCAUAUGUAUCUCUCCAUUGACCACCUUGUAGUUGCCGUCAGCAAAUCCAAACCCGAAGAAGAAGUUUAUUUGACCGAAGUUUUGGACAUAACGCGGCCGAAUUAUGUGCUUGGAUUUCCUGGUUGUCGGGUUGAGUAGACAUAGCCUUGACCCAGCUAAGUAGCACAACAACAAGCCGUUGCAAUGAAACAUCUAGUAAAGGUUGGCAGUAAACUCGGUCUUUCACCAAAUACAUGGGAAAGAUAAAGGGGAAGUGGCCUACACUUUUUUGCUCCACCGGCAAUAUGGCGAUCCGUAUAUAUGACUAUGUCUUUGAUAAAAUACAUACUCGUUCUGUAUGGCUCUAUCACGGUGCCUUUUGAUAAAUCCAGGGUCAGAAAUCAAAUCACGUAAUGGUUUUAAGACACAUUUGAAACGACACAAGGUUUUCACUAGAAGCCAUGAAAGAAUCUCGUCCAAGAUCUCCAGUGGAAGACUUAUUUUGCCAUUACGGUUAUGUUUUUCCAUAAUCGAUUCUCUUCUGGUCAUGUAGCUAGCUAGCUAGCUAGCUAGUGUCUUCCUAACAAUGGCGGUUCCUCGAUCUUUAGUCACAUGCGAAGGUUUUGUCAUUUUAUCGAUUUAGAUUGCUAGUUAUUUUGGAAUCUAUCUGAUCAGUAAGAGCAACUUUAACGGACUCUCUAUUUUAGCUUUUUGCUAUUUAGAGAGCUUAUUUAGCUUUUUUGGAUGUUUUAAGAGCUCUAGUAGACUAGCCAAACUUAAGCUAUUAUAACUUUUAGCUAUCUCGCUAGCUAUAUUUAGCUAGCGAGAUAGCUCAAAUGAGGCUAGCUAUAAUUUAUUACAUUCCUUGUAAGAUAUUUUAUGUGAUAUAUAAUUAUAUUUAAACUAUUUAAUUUCUAUUUGAAGAAUAAUGUUGAUGUAAUGCUAGCUAAAAUAGAGAGCAUUGAUGCAGCCAUAUUUCUAAAGUGGCUAGCCAAAAUGACAUUUUAGCUAAUUUGACUAAAAUUUAACUUAAAAAAGACUAGCAUUGCUAAAGAUGCUCUAAGACGGGAUUGGAAGUCUUAUAUAUAGCUUCUUUUCUUUCUUUGUGUGUGCGCCAAGGUAGGACGGUUGUUCACUUGAAUCGGGUUUGGGGUCGGGUUCGGGUUUAGUCUCCUCCUUAUAUAUAUGUAUGUAUGUAUUGUUUCUUAAUUAAGCUCACAUAUCGAUAUCCGAAUGAACUAGGAAUAGGAAAUCCUAACCUAACAUGCAUGGGAAAACAAAUUAUUAAUUAGUAUUCAACUAGGAAUUAAAGGAAAAUACACAGGAAAACCAAAACCUAGAUCGAAGGCCUAGCUAAUAUAUUAAGGAGUUAUCUCUUUAAAGAAACUGUUUUCAUAACUAAUUUAUUUUCUGGGUUUUUGUUAUAUUAUGAACAAGAACAUAGUCUUUUUUUUUUCUUUUUUUCUUUUUUCUAUGUCUUGGUUAUUUUUAUUGUAAAACGAUUUAGUUGUUUAGACUUUAAAUUCUAUUUUUUACUUCUUUUCUUUUAAUUUGAUUUGUUAUGAAAUUACUAAAAUUAAACAAUGACAUGUCACUUGUCACGUCAAUUAUUUAUAUGUUGACAUUAUAUUAACAAUUGAUCUGAACCCUUAAAUGUUUUAAAAUCUAAUGGUUAAGAAAUGAUGUCAAAAUUUGUGUCAAAUUUGAUAUCUCUUAGAUCGGAUCCUUUAUUUUCUUAUUAACUUUUAACUUUGUUGCUGUUUUUGUCGAAAGAAAAACUCUGUUGCUGUUUUGAGUAAGUUCUUUCCACUCCACGUGUAACUGUAAAUAGGAAAACUUACCCAGUUAGAAAUGUACCCAAUACGCACUGGCAGUGUGGAGCACGCGCUGGUAUAGUAAUAAAAACCUGAUAACGCGCGGCGAAAACCAAUUCGGAAAGAGAAAGGGGUGUUUGCCUACUUGUAGCUUUGCGACCUCUCUAUCUCUCUCUCUCUCUCGGAGAAGAGGACCACCCCUAAUUUUCAGCACCAACCAAAAACUCCCCCCAUCUUCUUUUUAACCCAAAAAAAAAAGAACCAAAAUUCUCUCUUCUUCUCCAUCCUAGGGUUUCCCAAUUCGCCAUUCCCGAAACCACAUUUCAUACUACGGCUUCGGUUCUCCACGGGCAUUGCUCCGAGCUCUCGGAUUGUUUCCGGUUACGGAUUCGGAUGCUCCGAUUUUGUAAUUCGGGGGCGGACUCAGGUGAGCUUUUCGGUUUUGAAUUUGAACUAUUUUGGAGCGGUUUGAUCAAAGCGUGUACUGUAGCUUCUUUGCUUGAGCUUGUUUUUUUGCUGCUGUUAGGGUUUUGGAUUAUUGUAUAUUGUUGCAUUUUCGGACAUGAUCGUGAAUUGCUGCUAAUUUUGUUAAAAGGCUCUUAAUUUACUGUUUAUAAUGGUGAAUUGCAGCUGCAUUGUUUUUGAAAGAUGUUGUUUGAUAUAGCGUGGUAAUGUUUUGGUGGAUGAUGUGUGUAGGAAUUUGUGCAUGGACUAGUUCGGCUGCGGUGGGAGAUAGUGCUGUUGACUGGUUUGACAGGUCUCGAUGGUUUGCUCAGUUGGAAGUGGGAGGAUGGCAGUGAUGGCAAGGCUUCUCGCGGGUGGGAGUGUGUCGCAAAGCCUUGCAGGUAGACCUUUUUGGAAGCUAGUGGUGUGUUGUGUUUUAUUUGAGUUUGCACACUUAUGUUCUGUCUAUACUCUAUACUUUACCCUACUGGCUGUCUUUUGAUUGUUUUGUUUCAUAUUUAUUCAUCCGGACAGAGGAUGUUCCUCAUCAGAAAUUCGCGGUAUAUAGAGAAUUAAUUGAGGCGAAUGAUGCAAAUUUGCUUGACGAAGAAGGUAAUUCUAAAUUCUCUCAUCAUGCAUAAAAACCUACUAUACAGUACCAUAAAUAUGAUACUAAAUUCGAUGGAUGCGUAGUGGAUGUUGUGGGCAGUAGCACGAGUAUUGUGCAUAUACUAUGAAUUAAAGAUAUGGUAGUGUAUAUGCAUGUGCUGCCUUGACUGAAGUAUGAAAGUCUAGAAAACUUGGAUAAUGUUUUGCUGCUAAAUUUUGCAUCUUGGCAUUCAUAACUCCUUUGUAACAUUUUAUGAUUUCACUGAAGCUUUUCAGAGCUCGUUGUUUCAUACACUCUUGAUGUCUUCCAUUUGGGUCUGCAGAUAUGCACGUGUUUGAUUUGGAGCCGAUGACUGAUACUUUGCUUUUGGUAAGCGCAAAAUCUUUUAAGUUGCUUCUAUCUCUGUCUGUAGCCUUCCAUACUUUAAAUUUACAUGGUUGAAUCUUCAGGAAAGUUUGCUUGUGAUUUCUGGUGAUUUGUAAGGAUUUAUGCAUGUUAGAUAUGAUAUUUUCUGUUCUUCAAUGUCAAAUCGUUGGUCUAUGUUUCACAUUUUCAUCAGUAAGAAAGGAAACCGCUGCCUGAAUGACCUUACUGAUUUGCCUAUCUAAUUGAAACUUAGUGUCUCCAUGUGCUCAGUCUACUCGUGAACUAUAACUUAUUAAUAUUUUUUUUUCAAUUGCAUUGUGAAGGUAUGUUGCAAUGCUUGUAAAAAACCAGUCAAGGCUAGUCAAUAUGCAGCCCAUUCAGGUUUGUAGGUUUCUCUAUUGUCCAUUUUUUAUUUGUAUCCAUAUACACUUUAUUUUAUUUUCUGUUUCCCGUGUGUAUACCUGUGUUGUCCCAUUGUUCUUUUGUAUUAUUUUUUUUAUCAGUCCUUCGUCUCUUUAGUCGCUCAUCGAAUAUAUGGGCUAUAAAUCAUGAAGUAACUACCCUCAGUCAGUCAAUCAGUCUAAAUCCCCUCAGAACUUAACCUAGUGAGUAGCUGACUAGCUGGGACUGAUCCCACACCCUGGUACAGUUCCAAGAGAUUUCCCAACAGCUGCCCGUAUCAAUUUAGGUUAUACCUGAGAUUUCACAACUGCUUAUCUUUUAGGGAAACAUCCGAAUCAUUCUAUUAGAAACCUAUUUGAUGUGAAUUAAUAAUAGUCUAUAUAUUGGGUUUUCUUCAGGCAUUCACCACUCAUAUGUCUUGUAUAUUAUCAGUUGCAAGCUAAGCCCAAUUUUCUAAUCAUGAUCUUUUAAUCACAACAACGUCCUUAACCAUGUUUGUUAGCCUGCAAUUGCAUGUAGGAUAUAUUUAUUUUAUUUACUUAUUAUUAUUAUUAUUAUUAUUAUUAUUAUUAUUAUUAUUAUACUUUUUCGACUAAUAGAUUACUUUCUACUCUUUACAUGUACUUUGUGCUGGCUGUAUGCUGAGAUCAAGUGUGUUUCAGUACUUUGCAGGUCAUUAAAUUCUACGAAGGAAACUAAUUUGGAAGUUGGUGCUGCUAUUGAGCAAAAGAAGCCUCCAAGGAAGGAGAAGAAAAAGUUAUCAACUGCAUAUGCUCGUAUCCUUAAAUAACUUCAAUGGUAAUUUAGUGUUUUCCUGCAUUUCAGGCAUUUCUACUGAUCUCACACCAUUGACAUAAUGCUUUUUAUUUGAGCCAAGGUGGUUAGCUUUCCCAAGAGUUUUAAGAGAAUUUAAGAUGCUCAUUGUUUUUGAACAAUUUUAGAAUGUUUUGCCAGUAUCAUCUUAAAGGUAGUUUGCCAGGUUUCCCAAGUGAUUUCUGAGCCAGACGCUAGGUUUGUUUACUUGUUGUGACAAUUUGAUAGUUCUUAACCUUUCUUAGAUCAGUCAACAUCAGUUAGAGAGCUCGAAAGGUCUGAAUCUGCAGAUGAUGUUGCUGUGUCUCAACCUCAGUUGGAUGGGAAAAUAGGAAUGAAUUCUUUUUGUGGUACAGGCGGAAAAGGUAACUCUUUAGUACUUACAGUCUAACUGGUGUACAUCAGUUUUAUAUGAUGUUUAAUAUUUGUUUGUGUUAACUUUCUAUUUUGUUAUAAUAAGCUAGUCCAAUUAGUCUGCAAAUUGCAAAUGUGGGAAGGUUUUGUUAUUGGUUUCCCAUUACAGGAAAAAAAAAUGAAGAAGAAAUUGGAUAGAGAAAUGGUAGAGGUCAGGGAUAUAGGAAACAAAAUGUAUAGAAUGGUUUAAAAAUUUAUUUUAUUUUUUCUCCCCAUUAUUGUUCAUCCCUCCUUUUUCCAUCUUCCUCAUUAUUUAAUAAUGAAUCCCAAAAUAUUAAUAAAUGAUGCUCUAGUUUGUUCAAUUACCUUGUCAUAGUGAAACAUCUUUUGGUUCAUUAUUCCUGCUUUUGUCUUCUGGGUGGCCUGUCACUCGUGCAAGUCAUCUGGACUGUUAGUUUUAUUGGUUCUAUUUCAUACUUUGAUGUUUCAUGAGAAAUAAAUAAAAGGAUUAUAUCACUUCUGCCUACAUGUUGUGCUUCAUUAGACCAGAUUAGGAACAUUUGAUAUGAAUUGAUCAGUGAUAUGAGCUGUAUAAUGUGAGUCACGUGUCAAUGUCAAAGUUAUAUCCAAGUUGUUUUCAUAAACGGAAUUAUUUCACCUAUGCUAAACAGUGGCAUAUAGAGGAUGGUGUGAAUCUAAAGAUUCUCCCUGUACUUCAGGUCUUUUUGAUGUCAUUAGCAAUGUGAUGGUAGCAUUUUUAAGUUGGUUUCUUUUCUCUUUACCUUACAUUCAGUCUCCUACAUUUAUUUAAUAUUUUUUCUUCGCAAAUUCGGGUAUAGAUGUUUAAACUUUCUAUAUAUAUAUAUAUUUGGAAAAGGCAUGUAGUCUGGAUAAUUUUAUGCUGCUCAACCUGUAUUGGAAUUUCUUCAUUCAUCUACUGCUCCAUAUAGGAAACUCAGCAUCUGUAGAUACAACCUAUAUGUAGUCUAGAUAAUUUUAUGCUGCUCAACCUGUAUUGGACUUUCUUCAUUCAUCUACUUUUCCAUAUAGGAAACUCAGCAUCUGUAGAUACAACCUAUAUGAUGGAUGGCUCAGGAGUUAGCCCUGAUAAUACCAGGUACUCAACAAGUCUGCUGCAUCCUCCAACAAAACGGUUUAAAAUGUAAGAUUUUAAACUUAUGGCAGUUCAUUAUUUUGAAUUUGAUUAUAUGAGUAGGACAAUAAAUGAGUAGCUUACGUUUAGCAGUAUAUUGCAUACUAACUGCCCUGGCUCUGUUAGUUAGUUUUUUGGUUCUCUUAACUGCUCUGAUUUUAUGCUCAGCCAAAUACUGUUCUGGCAAUUUUUACUUUCCUCUUCUAAGGGAGAGAGUACUGAACUCUGUGUUUGUGGGUAAUUUAGAGAAAUGUAGUCUUAGCGGAUUCAAGAUUUAUGAUUUAUCCUUUACUGAGGUAGAAACAGUGUUCAGAUAAUGGGUGCUGAGUACUGUGAUCUGUGUGGAAGCUUUUUUAAUUUAUGUGUGAAUCUAUAGUUCCUUUGGCUUCUCAUGCUUUUAUUACUGUGGUAGACUUGAAAUCCUUUUUCACCCUCUUGUAGGAUAGCAGGUGAGCAGCCACAGCCACCACUAUCAGAUGAUCUGGGAGCAACAUCUAUUGUAUCAGAACUUAGAAGUGCUCAGGAAACAUGUCCAUGUGAGGCUAAAUUCUUAGUUUCCUAAGUAAAAAAUUCCUUGGUAAAGUUAGGCUUAUGGAAAUAUUUCUGAAAAAUAUUGAUUCUCAAUAAUGAAAUAAGUAACAAAUAUAGGGUAUCAAUAUUCUUAGUUGUUGCAGGUCUGGCUAAGGUGAAAUUAUAGGGGACAUACAAUGAUAACUUUUGUAUGCUGAGCUACCCUCAUUAAUUAGGAAUAAGAUUACCACAAUGUGCCAAAGUAUGAGAACUUGGAAUAGUUGGUUUAUGGCUCGAUUGACACAAAUUCAAACAGUUUUAUUUUCCAGCCCCUCCUACGCAGCUGAAAAAAAAAUUGUAGAAAGAAUAACAGGUGGAUUUUUGUUUUUUUUUUUUUUUUACUUUUUUGUACUGACUGACUGACUNNNNNNNNNNNNNNNNNNNNNNNNNNNNNNNNNNNNNNNNNNNNNNNNNNNNNNNNNNNNNNNNNNNNNNNNNNNNNNNNNNNNNNNNNNNNNNNNNNNNNNNNNNNNNNNNNNNNNNNNNNNNNNNNNNNNNNNNNNNNNNNNNNNNNNNNNNNNNNNNNNNNNNNNNNNNNNNNNNNNNNNNNNNNNNNNUGGAAAGUUUAUCAUGAUUAUCCUUCUUUUCCUAUUAUCUAUCUUCUGUCUGUUCUCUGUUCAAUGGUAGCUGAAAAAUGAGUUUAUUAUCAGAUUGUCCUGUUCCCCUUGCUACUAAAGUAUAUUACUCGCAAAGAAGUAAUCGUCUCCGUACAGCACUUUGUCAUCUAUACUCUGAGGCAGUUGUAUCAAAUAAGGAGCUUUGCACUGUCAUGGUGAGCUCAAACAUAUGAAGAUUUUGAUUGAACUGUAAACUUUUACUGAGGAACAACUAAUUCAUAGCUGUCAUCACUUUAAUGAUAACAGAGGGACACGCAGUCUUUGCCUUCUAUACAGACACCUGAUCAAAUUCUCUCACAAACUUCAGAAGCUUGCUUGGACAAAUCAAUAGGUUCCCUGCCUGCCGAUGACCUCUCAAAUCAGUUUCCUGUUGAUAAUGUUCCGAGGCCUCAGGCUGCAGGUGUAGGUUUGACAAGAAGCAAACUUCUUUCAAAACCUUAUUCUUUUGCAGGUAGCUCAGGUAUUCACUAUUUCUUUGUUAUAUUUGUAACUUCUCAUUUUUCAGUAUUUUAUUUGUCAGUGUAGAACUGUAGAUUAGAUUUUUACUGUUGAUAUUGUAACUUGUUAGUACAAUCAUGUUAUGGAUCAUGUCAUUGGUUUUGCAGGACAAUCUUUGGGAACUUUGCAACAGCGAAAUGACAGAGUUCCUGUUGUAUAGGAGUCAUGCAGAAACUUUUAGGAUCGGGGAAGGUGUUACUUGACCAAAUACGUGAGUUUAGAAAUUAGGAUUCUUUUUUUAUAUUGACUGAGGAAAUCAUUGAAAUCCAUUCUAGGCCUCUGCAUGAUUGUUAAUCCAUACCUAUGUUUAGAUGCAAAUUGCUCUCCGAACAUGUGUAAAUCUGUGUUUUUGUAAAUAUGAAUUUUACUUGUUCCAUGCAUUUUUGUUUACAUUUUCACUUUGCUAUAAUUCCUAUCUGCAUGGAGAAAUGAGGAAAAGGUUUAAAUGCUUAAAAAGGCAACAUGCACAUUGCCUUUCCCCUUGGUUUAUAACUGGUUUUCCAGUUAUGAUAAAGGUUUUGUGAGGGGUAUCUUACUAUGUGUCAGGUUGUGUAUAUCUCAUGACCCAAGUAGCAAUAAUGAUAAUGGUCAUUUCACACUAUUGUUUUCACUUUCUUAUCAUCUAUAGUAGAAAUAUUAUAAAGUCAUAUUGAUUGCAUUAGCGACAAUACCAAUAUAUAAAAGAUUAGUAUGUGAGUUUUGGAAUUUUUAUUUUAUUUUUUAAAUUAGAUAAAUAAAUGAUGUCAAUCAUAUAUGCAAGUAUGUUCCUUGAUGUCAUCCUUGAGUAUACAAGUAUAUGCUCAAAACUGCAUCUUAUUGUAAUGUGGCUGUCCAAAGAUGUUAGAUGGAGACAUGUUUCUUCAAUUCAAUUUGAAAUUAAGUGGGAGUUCUCAGAAUAUCAGUUGCUAGGACCAAGUUUCUAUCAAUGAGAAUGUCACAAGUGUUGAGAUAUAAAUCCCACAUCAGGAAUAUAAAACCUUGUCUGUGGGUUCAUAAGGGUUUGGGCCUCUCUAUCCAUUGCGAGUUGAUUUUGGACAUGAACCCCAGACUAUUUUAUCAACAAGACUAAUGUGUGACAGCAAUAGAGUUAGACAGCUUCUUGUUAGUUUGUGCUAGGAAUGUCUAAAUAUCUUGGUCUUCUACUUUCAGUGAGCAGCUUGCCCUCUUUUCCAUUGAAAUAUCUACUCUCUGGUUUUGCUGAAUAGAAGGGGAUGGUAAACCCACUACGCAAAACGUUGUGGCAAAACGAGCUCUGCCUUCUUUUUUGUUUUUGUUUUGGACGGAGAGGAUUGUCUGUGUAUUAACUAACAGGAUUCCGUCCACACAUAAUGUCAUUUUGCUUGGUAGCACAUUAGAGGCUCACUCACACAGUGGCUUUCAAAAAGCUUGCCUAUAUGGCAUGAAGUUUUUUUUUAGUAACAUAACACAGUUUUUAAUUGUAGAACUGAAGGUCUAUGCCUCACACAGUUUUUCAUCCUACUUUUCAUUCCGAAUAGCAAGCUUGGUAUGUCCAUUUAGUUGAGUCUUAAUAUCAAAGACUUCCUUCAUUCAUUUACUAUUUCUAUAGGGAACUCAGCACCUGUAGAUACAACAUAUAUGAUGGAUGGUUCAUGCGUUGAUGAGUAAUGAGAUCUGUGUGAAAAUCAUUGGCGCCUUCGGCUUCUCAUACUAAUUUUUUUUGUUAUGGUAGACUUGAAAUCCUUUUUUCAUCCUGUUGUAGUAUUGCAGUUUUGCUACUACCAAAACUCAGAAGUUCGUUGGCUGAUGGAAACUCAAAAGUCUUAUUCUCAACUGUGAUCGAACUAAGUAACAAAACAUCUGGUAGCAAUAAUCCAAGUUGAGCCAAGGUAAUAUGAAAGGGGAGUUACGAAGAUAACUAUUGCAUCCAAUGCUACCCUCAUUACUCAAUUGGGAAUAGUUGGUCUGUGUCUUACUUGCACAAAUUAAAACAGCUUUUGAUUUCAACCCCCCCCCCAACCAGAUGUAAUUUAGACAGUUUUUGUAAGUAUAUCUGGUUAUUUGAUUAUACCAUUGGUUUUAUACCAAAAGGUAGUAGAUUAGUAUUUGAGUUUUAGAUCGAUUUCUUAAUUUGAAAUAUGUGAUGUCAAUCAAGUAUGUUACUUGAUGUCAUGGGUCAUUAGCUACACCUCAAGCAUGCAAGUAUAUGCUAGAAACUACAUCAAUUUCUCUUGUGGCUAUCCAAAGUGGGUAUAGAUGGGGACAUAUUGCUCCAAUUCAAUGUGAAAUUAAGUGGGAGUUCUGUAGGUACUGGCAAGUUUCCAUUAGCAUUCAUGCAAUGAGAGAAUGCACAAGACUAAUGUGUGACAGCAAGCAGCACAAGACUAAUUUUUGACAGCAAUAGACAUAGACAGCUUCCUGUUAGUGUGCUAGGAAUGCUUAUCUAUCUUAGUCUUUUAUUUUCAAUAAACAGCUUGAACUCCUUUCAAUUAUAUUAUCUGCUAUGUCUGGUGUUGCUGGAUAGAAGGGAAUAGCAAAAUUGUGCAUUGCAUUGUGGCAAGUACUGUGCAUCCCUAAACCCUAAACACAUAAAAGGAUCACUCUAGGAGUAAAGGUUGUCUGCAUAUAUCAUGUAGGGAAUGCCCUAGGAACUGUUAUUGAUGUCUUGGGUCUCUAAUUCUCUAUACGAUGCUUUCCUUCACUUUUCCUUUAAUUUUUUUUUUUUGAAAUUUAAAAAGAAUAAAAAUCGAUCUUCAUUGAGUAGUCUUUAUAGAUUAUAACUUUAUAGGUGCAGCUUUUAUGUAUUUUAUGUUCCUUCCCAAAUGGGAGUUGAAAAUGAGUCAAGGCUGGUGUAGGUGUGGGAUGCUGGGAAUAUCAUAUUGUUCAUGUGAUUAACAAUGCUGGAACUCAUCUUCUUUUAGAAACAGUGCUAUUACAAAUAUUUCAAAGCUUCACUUUCCUAAUCCUUACCAAUUGAGUAUGUGCUUUCACUUUUUGUGAAGCAAAUGAAUGGAAAAGCUGGAUGGUUUUGGGUUGUUGCAGCAACAAUAAUCAUAGUUUUUUUUUUUGAUAGGAACAAUAAUCAUAGUUGGUUUGUAGCUUUCAUGUUGCUUUUGGGAACAUAACAAAAUACUAAAACCUCAACCCUUUUGCAAAGUUUCCAGAGGCACUGAGUGAGCCAGGUCAAUUAUGUUCUUGAUCAUGUUUUGCCUUCAGGCCAAACAUGUCUUAUGUUAUAAACCAUUUUCUUGGUGGAAUUUGAUGAGUCAAAAUAGGUGAGAAAGCUUUCCUCUCCCUUAUUACUCACACCAAGUUACAUAAUGUGGUUUGUGCUAAACUUGCUUUCCUUUUUGGCUUUGGCAUCAUCCUCUUGUCUUUGUGAGCAUGCUUGCCGUCUAAGUAUGCGAGAGAGAAGAAAAGAACAGAUAGAAUAUGAUUGAUAUUGGAGGGUGACACUCACUGCCUUCUAUAUAUUCUAGACAGAAUUUUCACUUGGGGUACUCGCACUCUGGAUUCUUUGGUACUUACGUUGGUGUUGUUCUUGUACUUAAUUAUAUCAAAAAUAAUUUUUCUUUAUAAAAAAUACCCAUUUAGUACUAAUUUAAACUCUUUAUUGUCUAUUUUAAUGAAUCUAAUAGACAUAAGCCCGUUCCAAUAUAAGGUGUUCUUACUUAUACCCAAAUACACAAAUCUCUAUUAAAGUCAUAAUAAAAAAAUAAUUUUUGUAUAUUUUUAAGACAAUUUUACCCUCACCACCUUUAACAUGUAUAGAGAGAGAAAAUGAAAGAGUGAGAAGACUUUGCCGGAAUCUCACCGGACUCCGGUCCCCGGUCAUCGAUCGUCGGAUUCCUGUCACCGAUCGCCUGACUCCGGUCGUCGGAUUUUUUCCGGUCACUCAGUUACCCACCCCCAGUAAUUAAUUACUGACCCCCAGUUUUCAGUUACCGACCUCCAAUAAUUAUUUAUUGGCCCCUAGUAAUCGAGUUACUGACCCCCAAUAAUCAGUUACUGACCUCUAGUAAUCAGUUACUGACCCCCAAUAAUCAGCGUUCCUAGCCCCCAAUAACUAGCUGAAAAGCAUAAAACCAAGAAGAAGAAGAAGAAGAAAGUACUUUUAAAAAAAAAAUGUGUAUUACCUCCAUACUAUUGUUUCACACUUUCACCUAUUAUCGAAACGAAAGCAAAAAAAUUAUCAAACAGAAAAUGAUAAAGUCACGACCGCAAGCACAACAAAAUGAUUGUCCAGGCCAUUUUGAAAGCUACAAAGUACGCACUUAUCAUAAACUACCUCUACUUCCCGUAUUUACAUCUAAUCGAAUCCAAUAGUAAAAGUUAACAUGUUGGCCUACUUGUAAAUGUGCUUCAAGCCCACUCCAUGGAUGCCACGGACGCAGCCAACAAUCAAUUAAGGUGACCUCUUCAAUUUCAAGUUGCAGAUUUGUCAUUUUUUGAUUUCCAUGCUUUCUAUCAAACCCUAGAUCUUGAAAUCGCGAAAAUUCAACCCCAAAUAAGCUAGUUCUCACCAGGUAUAGGUAAGGUUCUCGUAGAAGUCUCUCGGCCGUCAUCUCCCUUGUCUCCGGCGUCGGCUCCGAGGAGGGGAAGGAUGAGGAUGAGGAUGCUGAUGAGGUGAGUCAUAUCGUCGGCGAGGCUGAAGGCGUUCAUGGCUGGAGAUCAGAGAGAGAGAGAGAGAGAGAGUGUGUGUGUGUGUGUUCAGAUCGAGAAGAGUGGAGAGAGGGUGAUCGAAUGACGGAGGGUGUAGUUGAUAUUUCGUGUUAAAACAUUGGAAUGGGCUACUCAAUAUUUUUUUCAUUGAAAUGGGCUUUCAAAAUCCUAUUUUUGACUAAAUGGGCAUUUUCCUUUUUUUUUACUCAUUUUUCAUUUUAGAUUCUAUCGAUCUUGUGCUUAUAUCAAAAAUAUGAUCAUAUUAAAGCCACAAUAGUUCUCAACUACUAGAGCUACAAGUAUUCUUUACAACUAGAGCUACGACUAAGAAUUGCGGAUUCUCUUCUAUUAAAAACAACGAUUGUAUUAUCGUAUUGAGCAUAGUGCUUCAUAUGAAGUUUUCAUUGAAGACAAGAAUAGAGAAGAUAAGGGAAUACAAGCCUUGAUAUAUGACAUAAACAGCCGGACAUGAAGACCUCUUUUCGUAAUUUCGCAUCGCCGUUACGGACCUAACCGGAAGUGAAGGUCAACAACUGUAAAAGAUGCCCUUGAUUAGACGGCAAAAUUUCUCCUCCGCGGCUCCGUCGGGCCAUCGAUUGAGACUAGGAAAGAUUAUAUGACCUUAAUACCAACAUGUAUUAAAUAUGACAACAAUUGAAUUUGAGGUCGUUUUGAUAAUAAUUUGUGGCGCUUUGGAUUGGGUUUUCAGGCGCAGCAGCUGCAGCAUUAUUAAUAUUGGACCAUACGCUAUUACUUCAGCUGGUCAGAAAGUGUGUAAUGUAGGUUUGGGAAUAAAGAAAGAACUUUCAUGCCCUAUUUUCAAUUGGUGAAUAGUUGUCCUAUUCUUCAUGCCCUAUUGCUUUGGGUACUCUCUCUUGUAUCGGUAUUGGUUCUCAAAGUUAGGGCAUUAGUUUAGGCAAAAUUGUGUUUGUUAGUGUUUGGAUUGGUGUGUUAAAAUAUCUAAUCAGGACUCUUAAUUAUUAGAUUAUCUACAUACUUGUAAUGAUUUCCAUCUGUUGAUGUUUUUAAUCAAGACAAAAAUCAUAUUCCGUGAAAUAUAUGAAAUUAGACAGAUAAACUUUCUAUUAAAAGUUACGACUUGAUUCUAAACAUGCUAAUUUAAAAGAUUAAUCUCAUGCUUGAAGUAAUCAAUCGAAUAUGGAUUUUGGGUGUAGUUGAGGUUAUUGGAUUGUGGAAACGCCUACCCACCACUAAACUCCAAUACAAGAAGCAUUUCUCUAUACCACAAUUUGAUACCACAUUUUCAUGUCAAAUGGUCCAUUAUUUUAAGUAAAAAAAUAUUAUAUAUUAUCAAAAAUAUUGAAUCUCACAUUAUUAUAUAAGAAACAUAUACACAUUUUGCUUGAGUUUCACACCAAGCCACCUGUAUGAUACCAUGUUCAAUCCAAAAAUGGUGAAAAUGUAGACUAAAUAUUCACUUUCAGGUAAAGAAAAAUAAUCAAGUUUUUCAAUUUUGCAGAUUUGAUUCUUGCUGCUUUAUAAAGCAAAUUAUCUUUUUGUUUCCUAUACUUACCAGUGUUUUCACUUUUCACCCACACACUUUACCAAAGCAGUAACUAAAAAGCAACAUAUGCUUUUGUUUGUUUCAAAAGUGAGAGAACUAUAAGAAACCAAAACCAAAAUGCAAGAGAGAAACAGACAACACUCGAUCCUUCCUUCUUCAUCUUCAUCUUCUUCAACUCCUUAAAUCCCCAAAACCCAAUACUCAGAAACCCUCAAACAUCACAAAGACUCAGUCUUUUGAUUCAAAAAUUUGGAGAGAGAUGUCAAUAAGAAGCUUAAUCCAGGACAUGAGGUUUUCCCGGUCGCAGCGGGUGGUUCAGGACCGGUCGGCGGCGGCGGCGCCGGAGUUGGGCGACUCGUUGAAGCAGAGCUGCUGGGCCCACAUGCCUCAGGAGCUGCUUAGAGAGGUUCUGAUGAGAAUUGAGGCUUCUGAGGCCGCCUGGCCGCCGCGGAAGAGCGUCGUCGCCUGCGCCGGAGUUUGCCGGAGCUGGAGGAUUUUGACCAAGGAGAUCGUUAAGUCUCCUGAGCUCUCCGGGAAGCUCACCUUCCCCAUCUCCGUCAAGCAGGUCUGGGUUUUCUCUUUGGUUUUGGUUUCAAUUAAUUGUUGAUGAGAAUUUCAUUUAAUUGAUUUGAAGUGAUUGUUAUUCUAUUUUAUAUUGAUUUUCAAAUUGAUUUUGUGGUAUUUGGGUGGCUUGUGAAUCUGUUUUAAGAAGUAGUAGAAGGGUGUGUUUGAUCUCACUGCAUUGCAAUUUAUAGAAAAUGAUGGGGUUGUAGUGGUUAUAUUGCUUAGUUGGGAUUGAUUUUAGUUAAAUUUGUAAUCUUUACUAAGAAAAUUGCUUACCUGCUUUACUUGACGAUUGUCAUCUGUGAUAAUUCCCAUUUGGUUUUCGCAUUUGAUGAUCUAAGAAUUCAAGAUUGUGUUUCUUAGCCAGUUUCAUGUGGUAGGGGGAAUUGGAUUUUCAUUUGUGGGAAGGACGUUAGGAAUCUUGUUCCACUCUACUACGGUUUUGUGUGAUAAUCUUUGAGUGGAAAAUGUCUGAUUUUUUGCAAAGUUUCUGAGUGUUGUUUCUGAAUUUUGAUGUUGUUGGUUGCAGCCUGGUCCAAGGGAGGAACUCCUACGGUGCUUUAUAAAGCGGAACCGAUCCACCCAGACAUAUUAUCUUUACCUCGGUUUGACCCAUGGUGAGCGCAUCGAAAACAAAAGCAUUAAUGUAGUACAUGUGUAUUAUGGCUAGCUUUUUGAUUGUUUUUCAAAGAUCUGGCCUUCCGUCUCCAGUGGAGGUUUAUUUUGUUAGGUCAUUUAGGUAUUGAUUUUGUUAUCAAGAUAUUGCUGUCACUUUCUAUAUAUGGUGGUCCUAUCCUCUUGCUUUCUUUUGAGCUGUUAUGAUUUUAACUUAUUGUCCGUCUGGUGUCCAUGGCAGCAUUAACUGAUGAGGGAAAGUUCCUACUUGCUGCUCGCAAGUAUAAACGCCCAACCUGCACCGAUUAUAUUAUCUCACUAAAUGGUGAUGAUAUGUCAAAGGGCAGCAGCAACUAUAUUGGAAAACUGAGGUAUAUCAUUCAGUAUACUGUGUUUUUAUUUUUAUUUUUUUUUAUUCUUGUGAGCUCAAGUAUUAACACAUUUUCCCUUUUUUCUUUCUCAAGAUCAAACUUUUUGGGAACAAAGUUCACCAUCUUUGAUGGGCAGCCAACUGAUGUGGGAGCCAAGUUUACAAAAAGUCGAUCCACUAGGCUAGUGAAUUUGAAACAAGUUUCGCCUAGGGUCCCUGCUGGCAACUAUCCUGUGGCUCACAUUUCCUACGAACUAAAUAUGUUGGGUUCCAGGUAAAUAUCUUUGCACGAUAAGUUACCUUUAGAAUUGAACUUAUUUGAGACAUACAAAAAUAUUUUCUGCAUGAGGAUGGUUGAUGCUUUCAUUUUUCUUCUUUUUCAUAAUUGGCACAACGAAUUUCAGUUUAGUAGAUAAGGGUGCAAUUGCUUUUUAUAAUUAAAAAAAAAUUCAGAGUUCGUGCAAGCAGGGGUCCAAGGAGAAUGCAAUGUACCAUGGAUGGAAUUCCUGCCACGUCGAUUCAACCUGGAGGAGUAGCACCCAUGCAGGCAGAGUUUUCAAGUAGCACUGCCGAGUUCUUUCCGUCCCUUCCAUUUUUCCGUUCAAAAUCAACUCGCAUGGAAAGUUUCCUAGGGCCUUCUGCGAAACCAAAAGAUGGGGUCAUCGUGUUAAGAAACAAAGCUCCAAGGUGGCACGAACAACUCCAGUGUUGGUGCUUGAACUUUCAUGGAAGAGUAACAGUUGCUUCAGUGAAAAACUUUCAGUUGGUUGCUUCUCCAGAAAAUGGGCCAGCUGGGCCAGAGCACGAGAAGAUUGUCCUCCAAUUUGGUAAAGUGGGCAAGGACUUGUUUACCAUGGAUUACAGGUACCCAAUAUCAGCAUUCCAGGCAUUUUCGAUCUGCCUCAGUAGCUUUGACACCAAGAUCGCCUGUGAAUAAUACAUUUGAAACAGGUAUGGGGAUUUAGGUCUGGUAUAUAGUUAAUUAUUCCUGAAUCUGAAUAAUCAAAACUUAUGAACACCGGAAAUUGUUAAGUUGACAUAAAUGAGCAACUAUUAUUACCGAGUAAUGGACAGUUCCGGAAUCUGUAGGUUACUAUUUCUGCUGUAAUGUAUAAGUUUUAUAGUCAAUUUACUGACGGUCUGGUACACGUCAAUAUCUAUUUACAUAAUCUUGAUAAAUCCUAUAUUUUUCUACUGGUGUAGGAGUAACAAGGUUGGAAAAUCAGUUACGAUGUUGAAUUCGAUGAGCCUUUUUUGAGAAGGUAAUUGCAGCUGGACUUCUUAUGCAGAGGGCAUGCUCAAAGGCUUCAAAACUUACUGGUAUCACAACUUUGUUCAAGGUAUGGAAGACUACUGGAACUGAAAGUUAUAGAGCUGUCGGUCUCUGUCAUCCCCACAUGUAUAUUUCAUUUGUUAGUGUAUAUAGCUUAGUGUUCAUAUAAAAGCAUGACAUGUUUUUUGCUAUUUGACAACAUAUCGAAUUUCAGUUGGUUUUAGUUAAGAGUAUAAUAGGUUGUCUAAUCAUUAAAUGAGUUCCUACUUGUUCGUUUGUUCAAUCUGAUGGCUCAAUCCGACUUUGUCCAGCUACAGUCAAUGAAAUUUUCCAAAUGGAUUUCAAUAGUCCUAUUUUCUUGCAAGUAUUUUUCUUCUUUUCCUCUUGCAAGUAGCAAAUUGACAAUAUAAAAGAUUGCCAAUGCAUUAGAUAGUCUUUUAGUCAAUCUCCCUAGGACACAAGUUUAUCACUCCACUACAACUACCAGAAAGUACCAUCAAAGUACAACAACAAAGAAAUUCUCCUCUUCAGCUUCAAUUAACAAAGGAAAAGCUAGUGCUAACAAGGGAAGCCAUAUUGUGUUCAAGAAAACCAAAGCGCUUGCUGCUACAUAGCAAAGCUUCCACUUAUGGUACCUCAACUCCAUCACUUAUGGAAAUAUCGGUGUGUUUCGAGUGUUCAACCACAAUGAGCCUAAUCACUCUCUGGUGGCGUCCAAAGCAUUCCUUAGGUACAGCUCAAUGAUUCUAUCGCCAACCUUAGUCUAGUUUCUGCAUUGUUUGGUGUCCCUUCCCAUUUGUAGGCUCAAUCAAGAUUAAAACUGACGCAGCUUGGUAGAGCUCCUCCCUUGAAUAUAGUAACCUUAUUGCUGCUUUGGCUCGUGACUCUUCUGGCUAUCACCUUGAUGGUUCUGCUGAUUGGUAGUCCUUUGUGAGGGGGAUCGGACUCGAAUCAUCUGAUCAAGUCGAUCGUUUAUCGAAAACCUUCUCAUAAGUGGACUGAGGCACUGAGCAGUAGCAGAAAGGGUUCACAUUUUUUGUUUCCCCAUAUCAAUUAGUUGAACUUGCUUCACAUUUGUCAUAUGAUGCCGCUCACCUCCAUGAGAUUAUAUUGUGGUUACAAAGUAAUACGACUAAUACCAUAUCAAGAAUUAAAAAUUGUGUUGUGUGCUUCGCCCUAUAUCCACCAUAACUAUACUCAUCCUCAUCAAUCCUAAGAAUGACAUCAAAGUUACAAAUGUUAACGAUAUACGAGCAACUGAUUCCCACAGUGGUAUCAUAGCCACCGACUUAUUUUGCAUGUGUGUCUUGUUGGGGAACAAUCAUUUAUUUAAUCAUAUAUAUAAUAUAAAUUUCAAUAAAGAAUAUAGGAAACAUAACAAUAUUCGUCUAGGAUUGAAAGUAGCGAAUCAAUCCUAAUAUAGGAGUGAAAUAGUAUAAGAAUCCUAUAAAAAAAAGUAUAAGGAAAAGAAAAAACUGACUUAAUUUUCCGAUUGAGGCAUGCAAAAAUGCACUUGACUAAAGACAGAUUUCGUCUCUACCCUUGUGCUUGUAGUUCGAUGGGCAUCCGCCUUUUAGAAUACAACAAUCGAUGAUCUAAAAUAGAAGCACUGCAAUUUUGGACUCUAGCGAACCAUAAAUUAUAUUUUGUACUCUUUUGACUCGAAAAAUACUUGUAGAAGAAAUGAUGAAUCUUAAUCUUAUCUUUAAGAAGAUAUGAGUAUGGGUUUAUAUAAAAUCUCAAGUGAACCAACGUGUCUGUUUACUUAUCUCCUUGAAGAGACACUUAUUCCUAAAGACACCUAUUAAAAAAGACACACCCUUUCAAAUAAAAGGUCAUGAGUAAUUUUAUUUUCAUUCAUAUUGGAUAUUAUUACAUAAUUUCCAACAUGUCUUCCACCAUGUCUACACCUUUUCCAGACCAAAGAUUUAUUUCAUUUCUAUUUUCAUGAUUUCUAGAGCGCCCAAAUGAGAAGACAUGCAUCAAACUUGUAACAUGUCGUAGACGAUCUCCUCAUAAUUUGUAGUUUAUGAGGACUGUAUCUUUUUCAGUUUAUAGAAACUCAUUAGUUUUCUUUGAUGUAGUCGCUUCCAUAAUAAUCUUGAAAAGUUAACAUCAUCCAACAUAUUCAUUCUUAUGUUGUUGGUAAGCAUGAUAUUGGCGCCAUUGCUAGGUUGUUGAACUGUUGAUCCUCCAUAUCAUCGACAACCUCAUCCGCAUACCAAUCUUGACAUUUGGCAAUGGUUUUUGUUCUUCUCUAACUGUUGAUGCGUUGCCGAAUGCCAAAGUUUCCAUCAUCACUCUUCAUCACUUUGGAAAUAGAAUAAGCACAGGAAUACAGGAUGCCGUGAAAGUUAAAAGACUAAUGCUUUAGAGUUUAGACAAGAAGGUACCAGAAUCCAAGGGGUGUUUUACAGUAAAAAACUUUUACUCUUGUAAAAAACCAUUUAGGGAACCUACAAGUAAACUUGAUUACUUCCUUUCAACUAAGUUGCUGUCUUGCUGAUGUACAUGAUUAUUGCAAACCCCCGAGGCAUAUAUUAUAGUGCAAAACCUACGUAUUUCUUCGGAUUCAUGGAAGGUAUUGAAGCAUACAAAGUUGUUCAAGGUUUUAAGCACUUGAGAAUGGGUAAGCUUACAUAUCUCAAAUGACCAGUCUCUUGCUCAUUGUAUGAUCACCAGAUUGCUGGUUAAGAAUAUUUGAUCAAUCACUUAUACAAUUCUGCCCCAUACUCUUCAGAUCUAAGUACAAGUUUAUAUUUACACGAGUACAAUUCUAAUUCACACUAAGCGGCUUGCAUGUGGAUUCCUGCUUCUGAGUUGGAAUGAAUAGAUUCAGUAGCUUCAUCUUCACCAGGUAGAUCAUCUGACUGCAAUUCUAGUUGAUUAAGGCUUCGUACAAAUCCAGCAAAUGAAGGAAAAUGCUCAGGUGAGAAGAAAUAUGCUCCCAUUCUCUGGUAUGUGAACAAAUCUAUCCCAUUCUCACCUAACAAAUUCUUCUUUAUCUGUUGAAAGCCUCCUGGAGCUCCUGAAACUGAAGAAUUUUGACCAGAAAUUUCGACCCUGUGCUUUCUGCAAACCAUUAUAAUUUGGGACAGUAAUGACUCGGGACUAGAAUGGGAUUCAUGCAGUUGAUGUACGUCUGAUAAGUCUAAUCCCGGCAAUAUCAUUUUGCAGGAAUUUCUUCCAAACAUAUCUGCAACUGCUUCAUAACCAUCUCUAGAGGAUGUAUUAUAGAACCCAGAUGUCAGCUCGGAUGGGUGAGACCUUGUUUUGUACCAAGAGUACAUUAGAGGGACUUUGCCAUAUACUGUGACUUCUGUUUCACCAAAAGUCGAAGAAGCAAGGGAAAGGAUCCGAUCUCCAUGAGAUAUUAGCUGGUUUGAGUACCAGGACAGGAAGAAAUCACCAUAUGGUGACUCCCAUGAUCCCCCAUGGUCCUUGAAGAAGGCAUUGGAGUACGGUGACUGGUCAUAGCUUGGAGCAUCAUGGGGACCGCCAAGACCCCACAAAGGAUUUCCGGUUGCUUCAGCAUGUUGUUUAAGACCGCUAAGCAUGUUUUCAUCAAAACACUGGAAUUCACCUACCCCAGGAAUUUUGCCUCUUUUGACUGACUGGUGAUGAGAAGGAUAUCGAAGCUCGCCAUCUGGUCCAAGGCUCACCGAGAUGCCCUGAAAUUUAGCAAAACAGGAGUUCAGUAUACAUAGUAAACCCACGAUGACUGAUUUUCAUUAUAGACUUGAAAAGAAUCAAGACUGCUUACCGUGAUUGUGGAACCGAGGAAAGGCGAGAACGAAGCUUUAAAGCUUUCACAGAAAUCACGGUAAACAUGAAUCGGAGUCUUUCCAUUGAGAACAGGAAGUUCAUCAACAGCCAGUGAUAAGCACUCCUUGUAUUGCUGCCCUGACCUGUCUUUGAAGAAGAUACCAGGUUGGGACUCCCCUAAGCUAGACACCCAAUCAGGGAGUGAGAUCUUCAGUUGAUUAGAAGCGUGGAAGCAGAGUGAUACAUGAACCUCAAGACCGGCUUUCUGAACCAUCUCUACUAGAGAAUGGUAGGCUGACCACUCAUACUUCCCCAUGGCAUCUUUCUCAACAACUCCCCACCACACCGGAAGCUCCACGCCGGUCACUCCCAAUAGUUUCAGAGCCUUUAGUCCAGCCGCGAUUGCUCGGGCAUGGUUCACCGAAUUGCAGUCUGAAACUGCAUCCAGCGGCAACCCAACCAAUAGUCUCACCCCAUCAUUCUGAAAACACCAAGCAAAAAAACCAAAUCAAUCUCCAUCAACACUAGUAACUAAGCCUACAGCCAAACUGGCUAAACCUAGUUUGCUAAAUACCAAUAUCCAUGUAAUUCAAGCAUUAAACCUCUACAUAUUUAGCAAAUCGCAGAGAACAAAUUUUAUAUAUCAGCUGCUUACAACCUCAAAGCAUGAAGUUGCCACUUGAAAUACACGUUCUAAAAGAACUUCUACCAUUCAACUCAAAAAUUAAGAGCUUACCAAACAUCAAAAUCUCCUCCUUUUUUCAAAACCCUUUUCUAUUCUUUCAUGUAUUAAUCAGGUAUUACCUUUACAACAAUCAAAUUCUUCAAAACCUCACAGAAAACCACUUCAAACAUAAACCAAACACUCACAACUCACAAGCCAUCACAUACUUUCUACUUCCAACUUGCUACUAUUUUUCAUUUCUUUCACUAUCUAGCAAACUAAAUAUACCUAACAUACAACAAAUCAACAUAACUACUAACACAAGAACAAGCACUUACCGAAUUGGAUCUUUUAACACGACCCGGAACUUUAACGGGUCGAAUCGAUUCAGACUGAACCGCCCGGAGAGUAAACUGAACCCGGCCGUUUUUCCAGCUGGUUUUUCGACCAAAGCUUAUCUGGGUCCUCAAAUCACCACUCAGUUUACAAAACCCAAACUCCCUAUUUCCCAAUUCAGCUCUUCCAAUCUUCACCUGAGAGCUCUGAAACAAUGAAACUUCCAUUUCCGAAAAAAACUCGAAUCUUUACACAACCCAAUACCCAAUUAAGCACAAAAACCGAAACCCAGAAUCUGCUUUUCUUGAAUUUUUCAACGAAAAUCUGAUAACUUUGUGAGUGAAAAUAGGCUAGGAGAGGAAGGGUUUAUAUAACCAAAGGAUUGAGGGCGGCAGACGCGCUUUUACGCGCGAAUAGAAAAAGUGGUGGACCAAAGGGAACACGCCACGUGUCGAGUGACAAUUGAGAGGUUUUUUGUUAUUUUUUAAGGGCCAAGCAGUUGGUUUUGUGAUUAUGAAAAUUUCCUUAUCCAAAAACUGGUUUUUUUAAAUGUUUGAUUGAUUUCCAUUUUGUUCCUAUCAAAAAAAAAAAAAAAGUUUGAUUGAUUAUUAACAGGAUAUUCUUAGCCAUGUGGUCUGGUUUGGGGGUUUGAUAUCAAGGACUCAAGGUUGUUGAUAACUAGAUUCUGUGUUGUCUCAUUUAGAUUUAGACAUGCCUUAUCCAUAACUUAUAGUAUAAUCUUUUUGUUAGGUCAAGAAUCAAAUUUUACCAUUAUAUAGAAGUAACAAGUUGGAAGGAGGUUUUUUUGUUAUUUUAAGUAAAUGUAAUGAAGCUUGAUUUCGUAUAAUGAUAAUAUUUAAAACUGUAAUGAGGUUUUAUAGCAACAUACGUGCCUCAACACUAUGUCUUUUAAAAAGGCUAAAAAGUAGUAUAUAAUUUGAACCACCAAAAUGUGGAUAUUAUAAGUUCCAUAUUAUAGCUCAAUUAAUAAUUCCUCAAUUUGUUUCGGUUAUUUAAGAGUAAUGUUUCAAUCGUGUCUUAUGAGAGAAACAGAACUCCACAAUCAACUUGUUUUUAAGUGCAUCAUCAAAUGUUGGUUAACUGAAUUUGAAGUUGUAGCUUACUUAAUGAUACUCGUUUUUGUCGAUAAUCAUUAUGUCAUUUCUUCAACCAAAUUAUAAUUUGAGGAACUAGUUCUUGCCUUUUUGAGAUAUGGGAUUUGAAGAUGGAUAGCAGUCAACGUUGGAUAACUAAAGACUCGGCACACUCAGGUUGCUGUUUGCCCUAAUCCUACUCCAACACCUCAUUAGGAAUUCUUCACUCAUUGUGGUGGCUAUUUUAAGAAUGACAUCUUUUAUAUACUAGGAAGAUACCCGCGCCUUGGCGCGGUGUAUAUAUACAUUUAUGAAAUGGCAAUGGUUCAGUUGAUUGAUGGAAAAGUUUUUGAUAUGUACUUCAUAGAAUUUGAAUACAUUGUAUGUUAUACAUAAGGAACAACACUACUUAUCCAAAGUAAGAAUCUAACUUGUUGUUUAAGCUAUAAAGCUUAUAUGCGAAAACAUGUAGAUAGGUAUAAAAGAACAAUAAAAACCAAGGUUUAUUGGGAAGAAAAGAGAAAUCUUUAUUGGGAAGAAAUGGAUCAUUGAGUAGGAGAGUCCGUUUGGAUUUUGCUUUUCACCAAUCCAAGUUCCCAGGAAAAGAACACAGAACCUCAAAGCAGAGUAGCCAACAACAUUCUACUCACCUACCUCUAAAACCUCUAUCCUUUGUUCCCUCAACUCACUGUGACUUGUCAGUAUCUUCCUCUCUCUAUAUUUUUCUGCUUGAAUGUUUCAAAUCCAACAAACUCCACACCUUCCCGUACUGCUGAAGUAUAAGAGAGAGGAAAAAAAAAUUGCAAAAUUCGACUCACUGCUUAAGUUAAAACNNNNNNNNNNNNNNNNNNNNNNNNNNNNNNNNNNNNNNNNNNNNNNNNNNNNNNNNNNNNNNNNNNNNNNNNNNNNNNNNNNNNNNNNNNNNNNNNNNNNNNNNNNNNNNNNNNNNNNNNNNNNNNNNNNNNNNNNNNNNNNNNNNNNNNNNNNNNNNNNNNNNNNNNNNNNNNNNNNNNNNNNNNNNNNNNNNNNNNNNNNNNNNNNNNNNNNNNNNNNNNNNNNNNNNNNNNNNNNNNNNNNNNNNNNNNNNNNNNNNNNNNNNNNNNNNNNNNNNNNNNNNNNNNNNNNNNNNNNNNNNNNNNNNNNNNNNNNNNNNNNNNNNNNNNNNNNNNNNNNNNNNNNNNNNNNNNNNNNNNNNNNNNNNNNNNNNNNNNNNNNNNNNNNNNNNNNNNNNNNNNNNNNNNNNNNNNNNNNNNNNNNNNNNNNNNNNNNNNNNNNNNNNNNNNNNNNNNNNNNNNNNNNNNNNNNNNNNNNNNNNNNNNNNNNNNNNNNNNNNNNNNNNNNNNNNNNNNNNNNNNNNNNNNNNNNNNNNNNNNNNNNNNNNNNNNNNNNNNNNNNNNNNNNNNNNNNNNNNNNNNNNNNNNNNNNNNNNNNNNNNNNNNNNNNNNNNNNNNNNNNNNNNNNNNNNNNNNNNNNNNNNNNNNNNNNNNNNNNNNNNNNNNNNNNNNNNNNNNNNNNNNNNNNNNNNNNNNNNNNNNNNNNNNNNNNNNNNNNNNNNNNNNNNNNNNNNNNNNNNNNNNNNNNNNNNNNNNNNNNNNNNNNNNNNNNNNNNNNNNNNNNNNNNNNNNNNNNNNNNNNNNNNNNNNNNNNNNNNNNNNNNNNNNNNNNNNNNNNNNNNNNNNNNNNNNNNNNNNNNNNNNNNNNNNNNNNNNNNNNNNNNNNNNNNNNNNNNNNNNNNNNNNNNNNNNNNNNNNNNNNNNNNNNNNNNNNNNNNNNNNNNNNNNNNNNNNNNNNNNNNNNNNNNNNNNNNNNNNNNNNNNNNNNNNNNNNNNNNNNNNNNNNNNNNNNNNNNNNNNNNNNNNNNNNNNNNNNNNNNNNNNNNNNNNNNNNNNNNNNNNNNNNNNNNNNNNNNNNNNNNNNNNNNNNNNNNNNNNNNNNNNNNNNNNNNNNNNNNNNNNNNNNNNNNNNNNNNNNNNNNNNNNNNNNNNNNNNNNNNNNNNNNNNNNNNNNNNNNNNNNNNNNNNNNNNNNNNNNNNNNNNNNNNNNNNNNNNNNNNNNNNNNNNNNNNNNNNNNNNNNNNNNNNNNNNNNNNNNNNNNNNNNNNNNNNNNNNNNNNNNNNNAGGUGAGAACAACCAAGGAUAUCCAAAAUUUUCUUCCCUUAAACUCUUGCCCAAUUCAGCUAACUUCUUUAGUUCACCAAUUCCCUUAAACUGAGGGGUACUGGACUGGAAAACGAACCACAGAACAACCUGCUACCACUGCAAUCGAAAUCAAGAAAAACGAAUUCAAACAAAAACCUAACACAGAGAUUGGGAGAUGUAGCUUUUUGCCGCGGAAAAGCUUAAAGUUGAAGUAUAAAGGAUAAUACUGAAAACACUGGAUAGAGGAAAUCGAUAGUCUUUCUCUGCUUAAUUGAAUUAGCCUGAAAUGCCAAAGUAAGAAAGAGCACCUGGAGUAAAAAACGAAAUUUGCCGGGAACAAACAUACAAAAUUUUUGCUCUGAGUUUGGCUGCUUGGAUCUGAAUCGGGCGUUUGCUCUCUUUUCUCUUUCACUUUCUUUCGCCCUGUUUCUUCUGCUCUCUUCUUUUCUCUCUCACUUUCUCUUCUGUCUGGGUUUGUAGACCAUCUCUUCUGCCUGGGUUUUUCUCACUCUCUUUUCGGUCUGGGUUCUUCUAGAAUCUCUUCUAGUAUAUCAUGCACAGUUAGAAAAUUUGCAAACUUUUCACUUUGUUUUGAAGAAGGUCGGUGCUUAAUCGGGCGUCCAGAUCGUUCUCGAUCAUUCACAGUUUAUUUAGGAUUUGUCGACAUCUGCUCUACAUAUUUAUAUUGUGAUUUUCUAAACACAACAGGGAUAAAGUGGUCAUCACAUAAAAACACAUUAUUAAUUAACAUAAAAACACAUUAUUAACCUUAACCUGUGCUUGCUUAUAUAUAAACUGUCGAGUGAGCAACUUCGAGCAACUUCGAGCGAGCAACUUAUAAACAGUAGAUAUAAACAGUAGACCAAGCUUUAGUAUAUAGGUAAAUUUGUGGGAAUUGUGGCCAUAUCUGGGGAUUGGAGAGAAACAAGGUUACAAGGGACGUGGAAUCAGUGUGGAAUUAUAAGAAGCCACCUCAUGCCAACGUCCACAGACCACAAACCACCUUUUGCUCGAUCCUGCUUGCUUGCUUUCAUCAGAAACUCAAUGAUUGAAUACAAGAAUAUAUGGAGUUUUGGAUUGGUCCGACAUGUGGUAGAUACUAGAUAAUCCAGAGAGCGAUGUCUGUGUGCUGCUGAGUCAGGUCCAGGUUAGGCGAAACUGUUUGAGGGCUCAGUUUUUGGUUGUGUUUUCCCAUCUGAAAUCACUGGUUUUUUCUCUGCCUUGGAUUAUUGCUCGAUUGGCCACUGCAGGUCCACAGCCACAGUGCUCAGACCUAAAGAGGUGGCUUUGUGGAUAGCAAAAUUUGGAAGAGGAAGAGGAAUCUGAAUCAUCAUCAUCUUGGCCACCUUGGUUGAGUCAUUGCUUGGUUUUGUUUGCUCUGCGCGCAAGAAAGAAAAACAACGCAAUUUAAAUGACUCAACAUGCAUAUGAUAAUGACCUGCUUUGUUUUCUCUUAGGCUACUUGCACUUGUAUUCCUCAAAUGUGUCAAUUAUACAGGUAGCACUUUUCUUAUUACAUGCACCUCAUUAUUCAAAACGUCUUGAUCUCAUCUUCAAGAACGUAUUGAAAUCCGAAAUUUUAGUAUGGUCGAUUGGUUACGAGUGAUGUUGAAAGCUAGAUAGAAGGUUAUUUCGAGUGAAAUAGAACCUCGGAGGUUCGUCUUACGAAAGGGAGUCAAGUUCUUAUGCAGUUAAUUACACUGUAUGCAGAUCCUGUGUUUGAUUAUCCUUCUCAAACUCUUCAUGGCAUUCCCAUCUCUCUUUCAAUCGAACGGGACUGCUUUCAAAGACUUUGGAAAUUACUAAAGCAUGUUAGUCGGAUGGCCUUAUAUAUGCAAUUGCUUAGAAAUGCUUGCACAGCUGCUCGAUCGCCUACUUCUCUGUCUGAAACAAUGUCGUACCACUCGUACGUCAACUUCGACGGCUCCUAAGAAAGCAAUGCCCAAAGUAGCAAAGUCUGAGACACAAAUCGAUUUUCGCAUGAAAGUUCAACAACUGCGAGCUCCUGGUGGUAUCAAAUUAUAGCAUUAAAAAGAAUCGAAAGAUGGUGCACUACUGCACUUCGUUCAGUAUGCAUAUCAGUAUGCAUAACACGAAAUUUUAAUUGAGUGGUGGUUUAAAGCGUCUAGCAUAUUACGUAGUUGAACUAGUUUUUGGAUAGUUUAGAGCAUUUUUAGCAGACUCUCUAUUUUAGUUUUUAGCUAUUUUAAAAAGCGUUUUUUUUUUUUUUUUUUUUUUGGAGCUCCAGCAGACUAACCAAAAUUUAGCUAUUUAUAACUUUUAGCUAUCUCGCAAGCUAAAUAUAGAAAGCGAGAUGACUCAGAUAAGGCUAGCUAUAAUUUAAUAUAUGAUAAAGGAUAAAAUGUAGAGACAAAGAGAUAACAAGAGAGUCAUCAUCUUAUUCAUUGAUAGGAGCCAUUUAUAUAGGGAAUUACACAAUACCAAUAUGGUAAAGAUAUGAAUACAUAGAUCUAGUCUAACUACAUAUCCUAUUGGCAUAAGGCCAAGGCACACAUAGAGAAUAUCCUAGAACACUCCCCCUUGUGCCGNNNNNNNNNNNNNNNNNNNNUCCUGAUUCUUACUAAUCACGGAAGUUUCAACCACUUAGCAUGUCAAUGCUUUUUAACAUGUCUUCAAAUGUGGCAUUGGCCAAUGAUUAACUAAAUCAUGCCGUAUUGUCCUCAAAUGAUCUUUUACACUUAGAUCUUGAGGAGAAUGUCGCUUGUGAACUCAAAACAUAAGUUCGUGCAGGAAAUCAGAUUUCCGCGCAGCAUGACCUUCAAUUACUAGAACAGUCGUAACUUCCUCUAGGAAAUACAUAUGAACGAACCGUAAACGGUUUUGGAAACUAGACUCAUUUAGCUUUCCAACCGUAUAUUACAAACAUUUUGGUUCAUCAGGAACUGUUCACAAAGUCCCGUCGAAGUUGACUGUUCUGCCAAAAUCAGAUUCUCGGACAGAUUCGUCCUACUUUACGAAAACGGCCAUAACUCACUCAAUAUGAUAGGUAUGAUCAAAUGGUUGGUGUUCCUGGAAAGUAGACACAUAGACCUUUCCAAUGGUACCAAUUUUACCAUAUUCCAGUAAGUGAGGUUUCCUGUAAGUCCCGUGGAGCUUGACCUACGAAACUUGGCAGAUUCUGAUUUCGUUAUUGAUGUGUCUUUCUUAUGUAGGGAUAGAAUAAGCCUCAACCUUUCAUACCAUUAAGUAUUGAAAAAGGUGUUACUGUCAUUACAUUGGCGUUGCGUGGGCGCAUAGCUACACUUAGCUUUAUAACUUUUCAUAGCGAAUGAGAUGUCAAGUCUUUCGUAUUGUGUUGAGUACAUUGAUGCGUCUUAUUAUACUUAGAUGAGAACUCCAUCUCUUAACACAUAUUUGUCAUAUUGCUUUAGACAAAACAACGAAGCUCUCUUUAGAGCAAAGACCUUGACUAAUCAUGGGAGUAUAUGUAGGCCUCAUUAGUUAUAAAGUGUCUAAGCCGAUUGAUGGAAAAUCAUCAUCAAUACAGUCAUCGAGUGUCUUAUCGAGAUUGUGUCUUCCUAAGAUCUUUUUCUUCAGAUGUUGAUACAUAUUGGCAUCUCUUGAUCCAUCAAGAGUCCAUGUAAAUCCGGAAUGAACACGCAAAGGCAUAAUUCACCAUAUCCCUUCCAAAUCAAGUAGAGUCCAUGUGCGUUUCAAUACAUUUAGCAAACGCAUGCUCCUAUGGUUUGGAGCCACUUGAUUCGGAUGAAUGAAGUCCGUUUAAGAUCUUCAUGUAUAUCUAUGAUCCCAUAGAGAUGUUAUUAUGACCACAUUCAUAGGCUGCAUGNNNNNNNNNNNNNNNNNNNNNNNNNNNNNNNNNNNNNNNNNNNNNNNNNNNNNNNNNNNNNNNNNNNNNNNNNNNNNNNNNNNNNNNNNNNNNNNNNNNNNNNNNNNNNNNNNNNNNNNNNNNNNNNNNNNNNNNNNNNNNNNNNNNNNNNNNNNNNNNNNNNNNNNNNNNNNNNNNNNNNNNNNNNNNNNNNNNNNNNNNNNNNNNNNNNNNNNNNNNNNNNNNNNNNNNNNNNNNNNNNNNNNNNNNNNNNNNNNNNNNNNNNGAUGAGUCUAAGCUCUUACUCUCACUACGCUAUCUAACAAAGGCAUAGUUGAUAGGGUUUAGCUUGCGGUGUCAGCAUCACCUGCCCAAGGACCUAUCUCUUUGUUAAUGCUGGAUCGUAUCUUUCCAUUAGGCCAAUCAACUAAGUUGAUAUCCAUCAACGAAGGGUGGUUCGAUAGUAGACUCAUUAUCCCACGUCCUCAUGUACACUAGUGUAAUACUUUGUAGAGAUCUCUAUAUGAAUUGGAUUUGACAUUGAGGCGUCCCCUAACGAUAAUCACAAUUCAGACUUCAUGAGACGGAUAUGAGUAUCACUGAUCAAUGGAUCAGGUUGUGCCAAGCUCGCUUUCUUCCUAGUGCGAGAAAGUAUCGAAUCUAAGGGCCUCCCUCCUUUUGGGGAGCCACAUGGCCUUGUGACACUAAUUUUGCCACCAUAUGGCGUCACUAUAUCACCAUCCAUGGUGAUGGCGUCAAGACCAACACCUUUUGGUCGCGUCAUGUCCUCUUGAUGGGACAUCAAUCCUUGUAGACAUAUUUGUAGCAUGUGAUCUCGUCACUUUAACACUUUAAGCAUUUGGGAUCAAGAUGAGACUUAGUGGGGACAAACCACGACAAUUCACGUCGUUCCACUUGAACACUUGUGUUCUUAUCUCCCCCUAACGGCGGGAAUAUUGUCUCAUCAAAGUGACAAUCCGCAAUUUAGCGGUGAAUGAGAUCGCCUGACAAGGUUCCUACAUAUGCGGAUUAUAGGUGGAGGUUCAUAUCCAACCUAAACUUAUUCAUCUCAAAUUACCCAUCAUUGUACGCAGUGGCAAUGCGAUUUGGCACCUAGAAAUAACAUCUAGCCGAGCUCAAGGAUUGGAGAUCCGUUUCAAUCCUACCGAGCUCAAGGAUUGCAAUUUCGUGUCAAUCCUGGUACACAGUCACAAGCUGCAGUACAACAAAAUUCAAUGAUGGUGGGUCGUAGAUGAAUAGUAAAGCUGCAUGCAAAUAUUGCAUAGCCCCAAGACGCAAUAGAAAAAGUGGUGCGCAUCAAUAAUGUUCGAGCGACAAGCUAAAGUUGAUUGGUCGCAGCCUCGGUGAGACCGUAUUGCGUGUGAACAUGGGGUACAUGACACUUCAAUUUACAUCCCGAUGAACUUCUUUAAAGAAUGGCUAGUGAGCCCGUAGAAGUAUAAGCAGUAUAAGCAGUAGAUAAUAGUGUAACACGUGACCAGUGUGUUAACACGUCAACCAACACCAUAAAGCAUAAAAAGGUGUCCGCAAGUUGGUUGUAUCUAUCUACAUAGUUUGAUGUAAGAAUAGAAUGUUCAGUUUUAUGUUAUUUAGCGUAGGAGGGUCUCACUCCUUAUUUAACUAAAGAAUAGGCUUUCAAAACGAGCAAUGAGCAUUGCAGGGGGCCAAUGCAACAUCAAGGAAAGGCCGGUGCACCUAAAUUGCUUGAGGAAUUGACCGGACGACCUCCAGGAAGUUGGAGUCGUGUUCGGGUGACGUCAAUGUCCCCCGGGUCACCACCAUGCUUCAUGGUGAUGCUAGAUCUCGAAUGUCUUCGUUUUGAGCGGAAGAAUGGAUGUCCAUGAGAAUUUCUCAAAAUUUGGACCAUUAUAUCUCUUCCAGGUUGACCAAUUUGGUCAAACCAAAGCCUAUAUGAGUCAGUGUCCCAAAUAUCAUGUUUGGCGACAACAUGGGAUUCGAUAUUCGAAUCAUAGUGACAUACAGUCCACUAGAUUGACUCAUGAAUUUCUCCAAUAUGCGCUUCAGUCCACAUUCAUGAGAAGGUAUACACAAAAGAAUUCUUGUUCAUUCUCACAAUGUUUUUAAAUGAAAACCAUUAGCAUGAAUGUCUUUAAAGGUCAACAUGGUUCCUUAGAAUGUUGUGGAUAGUUCCACUAUCUGCGAAGCACUCAAUGUCUCUAUGAGACAUAACUACAAGGAGUAGAUAGGCGAGUAAAUAGUUCUACUUGAACCAUUUAGAAGGAUUGAAAGAAGCUACGAAAAGCUGCAAUCCCGAGAGUGUAUAAAAAUUUGCGCGCAGAAUGACUUUUGCGCACUAAAACAGCCAUAACUUCUUUGUUAAAAUAGAUAUGGACGAACCGUGAAAAGUUCUGAAAACUAGACUCAUAGAGCUUUCCAAUGAUAUAAAGCUCACUGUCUGGUUCAUCUGGAGCUGUUCACAAAGCGCAAACGAAGUUGACUGUCCAGAAGGGACAGAUUGCUGUUUUUCGCAGAUUUGGCAUGUGCGAAGCUGUGAAGCUUGCAGGUGGCGUGUAGGCUUUUGCCUUAGUCAAAAGUGACGUGUGUAUGAUCAAAACCAAGUCCUUUCGAUCGUUCUAAGGUCGUAAACGCCAUGACUAGUUAGCAAAAGCUCCCUGACAUGAACAUAAACUAACUCAGAGGACCUAGAGGAUCCGAUUAUGAUGAUAAUUUUCCAGCUUUGAUAAGUCUUCAAAGUCUUUUGCAAGACGGCAAUUGGUUUAAUAGCGUAGGGGGAUCCAAAAUCAAAAGCUUUCGGUAACUCCAAGUCAGUAUGACCAGGCAUGUCCGUGGAGGGUCGGUAGUGCGAGACACACUUAAAACCACUAUCUCCUUAAUUUUGGACAAUUCUAAGACAUCACACUGAGCUUGGAUGAGCCUAGUUGAACAAUUGAUGAUGAAAAAUCCGCUAUAGGGUAGAAGACUUAACCGGAAACACGUGGGCGAUCCUCCUUGAGGAUGCAGUGCCAUGAGUCACCUUCAAAGGAAGGGACCAAAAUCGUCACAAUAUGCCAUGUUUCUAAGGACGAUGUAAGUGUACAUCUUGAUUGUAAAUCAUUAUGAACCAUAAGAGGAGAAUAGUUUCACUUCGAAAAAUUCUCAAGACAUUCAUUAUUGCUAAUGUGAGUACAUCGAGGUCUCAAAUAGACAAAGGACGUCGAUACAACGCCUUAGUACAUAUAACUUGGAACGAAAAUCAAUGUCUAGCCGAUGACAUCAAAGUCAUGGGUAGCUAGAGCAGGAUCCGAAUCUUUGAAAUUCGCGAUCAUGAGGAUGAAGUUCUUGUCCUGAUAUUGAUUUUCCAUACAUUUUUGUAUGCAUUCACAAUUUAAAGGAGCUUGACAAUCUUGAACCAGUGAUCCGAAGAUCCACAACGGUUGCAUUAAUGUCAUGAGCUGACGUGAGUAGUUUUGACAAAAUGGUGUCUAGACCGGGAAUGUCGCUAUUAGAGCCAGCGACAUCUCCCCCUCUUUUCUAGACAUCGGCACGACGUUUUCUGCCGUUGCCAUGACCCAUAUUGUUGUCCCCAUAUUAGGGGAUAAUCCCAAAUAAGUUUAUCACCUUAGCGUAUAUACAAUUCCCGUAUGUAUGAUCAAAAUCAAGUCUCGUUGGUAAUUCCAAACCAACUUGGAGGACCUAGAGAACUUGAUGAUGAUCGAAUCCGCUAAAGGUUAUGGAUCAUGAUGCCACAAAAGAUCAUCGACAAUAUGUAAUCAAUUAAAGUGGUAAGCAAUCCACUUGACUAAUAACUCAACAAGUAGAGUUAUAUAGACGUUUCAAGAAACGCUCCAUGAGUGCAUUCCACAGUACUUUUUGGUCAUUACUUUUUGCACAAAUUUCCAUUGAAGGCUUGUCGAUGUGGCAUCUCGGCAUCUAGGCUUGUUAGCCUGGGGGUCAAAACAUGUGGUUUAAUCCUUUCCAAUGAAAGGUUCCACAGAUACCAAGCAAAGAUCCGCCUUAGGCAUUUAGUACGUCAAAACUCAAAGGAGCAGAACGUUACAUUGCUCUUGCAUACAAAACCAAGCUGUUAUGAGACUCGAUAGAGGUCACAAAAGAUGCUUUUAAUGGUUUGUCCUUCAGAUUGAUCAUACACAAUCCGGAAAAGCCGCGAAUUGAUCAAACACAAUUCGGAAAAGGCCUCGGAUUGAUCAAACACAAUCCGGUGAAAGGUCGGGGUUGAUCAUACACAACCCGGACAAGGAAACAAGAGUGAUCAAACACACUCUUGACCCGCGAAUAAAAUUCCGGGAUUUUUGGUACCUGCACACACAAAAUCCCAAGCAUAAAAUGGAGAUGGAGAAGGGAGGAAAGGAUUUUAUCCUCCCCGAGUUAUUGAACUUGGAAAAGUUUAAGGUUUCAAAAAACAUACCUUUCUAGAGGCUGCCGAGAGGAGAAAUAACGUUUCGCCUACUUAUACUUCGAAUUUGGGGCUGAAAAUUUGACAGGAGGAGCAGCUUUGGAUGGGGAAGCUGCUGUCAAAAUUUCAGGUUGAUCGAAGCAAGGGAAGGUGGUGAACCGGUGGUCGGUAGCGGCGGCGGUCUGGAAUGUUCCGGCGGCUGGUUCGGAGACUUUCCGGCCAGUUCUCAGGGUGAGAACGGCGGCGUUGGAUCUGGGGCGGAGAGAGCUUUCUGGGGAUAUAAAAUUCCGGCGGAGGGCAGUCGGAAUUUUGGUCGGAAAUCGGGAAAACCAAGGCUACCCGAUUUUAGGGUUUUGGUUUUUAAGGUUUAGAAAAAAAAUGGUGGGCUAUUGGCUCUAGGGUUAGAACAAAGUGCAUGAUAACGUGAUAAAAGAUAAAGUGUAGAGACAAAGAGAUAGCAAGAGAGUCAUCAUCUUAUUCAUUGAUAGGAGCCUUUUAUAUAGGGAAUUACACAAUACCAAUAUGGUAAGGAUAUGAAUACAUAGAUCUAGUCUAACUACAUAUCCUAUUGGCAUAAGGCCAAGGCAUACAUAGAGAAUAUCCUAGAACAAUAUAUUCAUUGUAAGAUAUUUUACAUGAUAUAUAAAUAUAUUUAAACUAUUUAAUCUUUAUUUGAAGAAUAAUGUUGAUGUAAGAGCAUCUUUAGCAUAUUCUCUACUUUGGCUCCUUAGCUAUUUUAGAGAGCGUGUUUAGUUUUUUUGGAUAUUUUUGGAGCUCUAACAGAUUAGCCAAAGUUUAGCUAUUAUAACUUUUAGCUAUCUCGUAGCUAAAUAUAGUUAGCGAGAUCAUUUAGACGACUCUCUGUAAUUUAAUACAUUCUUUUUAAGAUAUUUUAUAUAAUACAUAAAUACAUUUAAACUAUUUAAUUUAUAUUUCAAGAAUAAUAUUAAUUUAAUAUUAGCUAAAAUAAAGAGCAUUGAUGUAGACGUAUUUCUAAAGUGACUAGUCAAAAUGACAUUUUAGUUGUUUUGACUAAAAUUUCAACUUAAAAAUGGCUAGCAUUGCUCUAAUGUUAAAUAAAAUAGAGAGCAUUGAUGCAGCUACAUCCAAAAUAAUAUUUUAACUAAUUUAACUAAAAUUUAACUAAAAAAUAUCUAACGUCGUUAAAGAUGUUUUUACAAACUUAGAUGCCAAAAGUGUCAUCAUUAUUAUACUUACGUACGUGUACUAAUUGGUUUGGACACUUGAGAUAUCUAUGCCUACAGAUGUUCGGUUUUAAAUAAUGGAAAUCAAUGAUUUUUUUUUAAAUGGAAAUCAACAAUAAUAGGUACGGUGUCAAUAUUAUUGAUAUUUGUCAGAUUUAGUUUUUUUUAUUUCUUUGCUUGUACAAAUAGAGUUGGAAGCAAUUAUGCAAUGAAUCUUAUUGGAGGUGGGAGCUACGCUGGCAAACUUUGGUAAUCUAUAGAGGCCAACUUCGGGAAAUCGGAUUGAACCACUUGUUUGAGGCUUGUUCAACUCAAACUUAACAAAACCUUAAGCUACCUUACGCUUACGCCAAUCAUCCCAAUCAAGAAUCAUGUACGUUAGUUUUCAUCUUACUUAUGAUUACGUUUAGUUAUUAGCUGAAACGUGAAUGACUAAAUUCUUGUUCUAAUUCUACAAGGAAAAUAGAACUAAUGUGAUUCACUUGGGUUUUGAUUACGUCCAUCCAACAUUUCAAGCUCUAAUUGUACAAGGAAGAUAGAACUAAAAUGACGAGGAUGUAAACCAGAUCAUAACCAAUGUUCGGUAAGCUUAUUCCGGCUUUUAGGUAUUCUCCUGGACUAGUAUUGUUCGAAAUCUAACCUUAAAAAUAAGGUAAAUACUUUCUCCUGUACAAGAAUACGGUCAUCAUUAGCAAUCAGCAUACUUGUACACCCUGAAUUUUUACUUCUUAGAAAGAAAGAAAAGAAAGAAUAAGGACAUAACCUUGGUUAAGCUAUAAUGGUCGGCCUGCAUGAUUUUAAGUUGGACAUCUCAUUCAGCAAACUACGCACACCACCAUAUAUUCUGCAAUCAGUUUCCAAAAUGAAACCUCAUCCUUUGAAUUUUUGUUUUUUUAUUAAUAACUCACACACUCUAUAUAUGUCCGUAAGGUUUGAAUCCAUGACCUCAAAGUUACCAGUGUUUAGCUCACCGAAUCCUUUGAAAUCGUUACGGGCACACAUGUUAGGAUCCUUUCAUCCUUUGAAUCAUGAUUUGCAUGAGUUAUAUAUUAUGCAUGCCCCCGUUGUCACUGUCCUUUUCUUAUAGUUGGUGGGUGCGUUAUGUCAAAGAAUCAUCCCCAUUGAUUUAGCUUCUUGAUUCAUAAUUCAUAUUUUCCCUCUCUUCAAAGGACGGUGUUGCAAGACUUUUGUGGAAAUAAGACAAAGUUACAGGUUCCUACUUUUGAAAAUAAUGGUAUAUCCCAACAUCAGUCACAGUCAAUUUUCCCCUCUUGCAUUUCCAUAUUGUUCUCUUCUAAUUUGGACUCCAAUCGCAAUGAAAGGGUUGGGGCAUAUGCCUUUCCCACAACUGUUAUUAGUAAAAAGAUAAAAUUAACUAAACUUCUUGAAUCCACCUCAAAUUAGGGAGAACAGAUAUGAACUCUCUCUUUUGGACUAUAGAAUCAUCUGAAUCAUUAUGGAGAUGAGAGGUAAUCAUUCUGCAAAACAGCUGGGUACUUAUGCAAAUAAGGGAGUGAUGGUUGAAGUGGAUGAGUCACCGGACCACCUAAGAGAAGCAAGCCAACUACUCAUGGAAACGGUUGAGGCAAAAAAUGCAAAAGAGAGAUAGAUGGCCAUAUGCAACAUUAUAUAAGGUAAAGAGAAUGAAAAAAGUACUGUCAAAAUAGUCAUAUCCUAGGACAAUCAUGGCAUCUCAUGCCUUUUAUCUUUUCUUUGUCAAAUGCUUGACAUCUUGUUCUUGCUUUGUUGAACACACAUACCCCUUGAGAAAAACUUGUCCUCUUUUCACUUUCAAUCAGUACAAUUAGGUAAACGUAGAGAUAAUACUAUAGAAAGUGUAAAGGGAUAGUAAAUUUGUCACUAUAUGUUUCGCCUUCAGAACUAUGGAAACACUAUCACUAAUACAAGAACCAAAACCGGAAUCUCUAACAGACGAAUUUAAUAGUUCUCUGGUGAGUCUGGAAUAUGUAGCUCGGAUCUUAAGGCAUAACAAAAUCGGAGAAAGAACUGAAACCAAGAUUUUAGUUGCCAAUAUAAUUUAUUAGUAUUACAGUGAACUGACUAUAGUGUGUUUGAAGGCAGAGAGAUAGAUAUGAAAAACAAGAUAUACAAUAUGAAGAAGCCUCCCGUACAAAAAUAAUAGAAAAGAACCAAGAAAACUGAAUACAAGAUUAAAAACAAACAAAAAAAGAUGUAUCACCUCUCCAUGCAAUUUGAAUGGCUUUUCCGGCUCGGAAUCGGCAGCAUUUGCAGCCUCAUAGAUAGAUUCAUGACAUCACAAAAAGUUGUUCUGAAUGGCAUUUUUCUAAGUGAUCCGAGCAGAAUCCUUAUCUCUUUGAGUCUCUUUUUGAGGUCUUUGACUGUGAAUGAAUUUGUCCUGAUGAGUGUUUCUUUCUCCUUGGAGCCCCUACUCCGGCAGGAUCCAUUAAGGGGCCGGACCAAGUUUGAAUGGAUUCUUUUGAAUAUGAGAAGUUUGUGGAACUGAAUGGAACAUCAGGGGGGUCGAAGAUAGGAUCAAUGUGAUUUGAAGAACCUAAAGUAUAGCCAAGUGUUCCAUCUUGGUGUGGAGGAGGAAACUUCUCGCUCUUGCUCUUAGCAUUUGCAUGUGUUAUCAGACGCCGCCUCUGUAAUAGAAGAAAACAGUCAAAUUAAGAAAAUCCAACACUGAACUGCUCAACUUGUGAAUUUAUAAAGGCAAGGACCACCAAGAGCUGCUUAAUAAUUAGUGGUUUUAGCUUUCAAGUAUGAAAGUAGAAAGCACGCAUUGCAAGGCACAUCUAUGGCCUAAGGAUGAACUCAAUGCUACCCUGCAUUCUGUGACUCAACCAACAAUGUUUUACAAAUCAUACAACUCAUAGACCCUUGGUGCCACCCCUUUCUGAGAUCAGAAGCCUACAUGCAAACCCAAACCAUCAAUGAGAUGACACAGCUAAAAGAUGUGUGCUGCGUGUUGGUGCACAUUUGGAAGUAUUUUGGCCUGUUUUGGAUCGCUUCACUAGAGAUUCUUUUGUUGUAUAAGUACUUCAGUUUUGUCCAAAGCAGACUUUUUCAUAAAACAUUCAAGUGUUUUUGUGAAAGCUCUUGAAGUGCUCCUUAAAAAAAAAAACCCGCCUACCAAGUUCCGUGUCAAAACUAGAAAAAAAGUAGGUUCUGCAACUUGAAAAGCACUUCCAAGUCUUUCUGCCAAAUGGGCUCCCAAACAGUGCCUUUGUGUGCGCAUUUGGAAGUGUUUUCUAGUCAGGGGAGGCAAGCAAAAGCUUAUCUCCCAAUAUAGGUCAGCACCACAAGUGGAUAUGGAUAUGAACUACAGCAGUGAUGUACAUAGAUAUCCAUAUACUCUUUGACAGUUUGACCUGAACCCAUGAUUUUUCCAAGUCAAUAAUAAUGAGGAAAUAGUUCCUUCCAGCCAUUUCAAGUUUGACAUUUUUCACUUGUUGAUAGAACAGAUGAGCUACCAUUGAAAAGAAUUACUGGUCAUGAACUUAAUUCGAUUACGAAGACGAACACAGCUACAAGUUAUGCAAACUCUAAAACCUAAUAAAAUCAUGCCUUGAUUAAAGAAGCUUACAUACAUCAAGAUUGGCUUGAAGCUCAGCAUUGGCUUCCGGAACAGGAAUUCCCCUAACAGCUCGAUCACGUGGCCGAGAUCUCCUUACACCGUCUGCAUUAGAUUUGCCAGCAGCUCUCAAUCUGCAAUUAGGAAACUCAUUUUAGGUUCGGUUUAAGCUCUCAAUCUAUUUCACACUAUUUGUUUGGAGGGAGGUCAAUCAAAGCAAAUGAAAAUGGACACGACUACACUAAUAAAAGAUAAACUUUAUAAGAUUAAAAAAUAAAGGUAAAAAAGAAUCACCACAUUGGAUGAUAAACCGCAAAACUUCGCCCAAAUAAAAUAUGCAAACCAAUAGCCCAGAGGGAGGACAUUAAAACAACAGUACAUACUAUAUAGUCAUAUGCGGAAAUCAAGGCACUGCAUUUACUGCAAUUUUAGUGCAGAUGAUUCUCUACAUUUAUGCUUAUGCAAUGGAAGCUAAAUAACACUGUAAUGGCUCAUAUAUGAAAGCUGUGAGGUGUGAAUCUAAAUAUAACCAGAUGAACAUUCAAGUGAUUAAAGGCAGUCAUCAACCUUCUAGCUUCUUCAUCCCGUAGCUUAGCAUCCAUUUCUUUGCUGGGUGGAUAUUUUGGCAGGCUAGAAGGAUCACAAGCAUAAGGCUUGGUUGUGAAGUACUGCAAAAGGCAUACAUAAUAUUACUCAAAACAAACAAAUCCGAAGAUAACAGAAAGAAAAGAGUAUGUUAGAAACUGGCAUAACAGGAACAACAGUAUCAUGGAAAUAAAUCUCACUUCAUUCCUCAAUGCAGCAGUGGCAGUCUGACGUUGAGCUGAGUCAAUUGCAAGCAGGGUGUCAAUCAGUGGCAAUGAUGACUGUGGAAAGUCCUUAAAGGUUUCUGCAAUGCAUCUUUUGUAUGAUUGCUGAGGUUUAAAAAUGGUAGCAUGUGGCAACUUUGACUUUUUCCAAUAUUCUUCCGAAGGGGAGCCACAUAACUUGAAUAUCUUGUGUAACUGCUCCACCUAUUUCAAGCAAGAGAGGGUUAACAGGACUGAAAACAUCUAUUGUCUACACAUAACCUACUCAGAAACACCAAGAAUUCAAAUAAAUCCAUAAAUCUAGAAGCAUGUUGCAUUGUCUAACCAAAGAAUUUACGAGUGACAAAUCAAACACACUGCAGAAAAGGAAACUCUGGGGAAUAAGCAGAAGUGUUAAGAACUCACUUCUGUGCGACCAGGCAUGAUUGGCUUCCCGGCCAACAACUCAGCUAAAAUGCAGCCAGCACUCCAGAGGUCCACACCCACACCAUAAUCAGUGGCACCAAGAAGAAGCUCUGGGGGUCGAUACCAUAGAGUAACUACUCUACUAGUCAUUGGUUGCUUGUGAUUAGGAUCAAAGAAUGAAGCCAAUCCAAAAUCAGCAAUCUUUAAGGUCCCACCAUUGUCAAUAAGAAGAUUGGACCCUUUAAUAUCACGAUGAAGCACAUUGCGAUUAUGACAGUGUUCAAGUCCAGAUAACAACUGGUGCAUAUAGCACUUGACCUGCCAUAUUCACAUAACAAGGAAAACUGGCUCACUUUUCCAGCAAAAGGCAAAGUUUGUAGAUAGUUAUGUCAUAUAAACACAAUAAAACCAAGAAAAGCGACUUUUCAGUACCUGAGGCUCUGUAAAUUUGAUUGCAGGGCUUGCAGCAAGUCCAGCCAAAUCAUGCUCCAUAUAUUCAAACACAAGGUACAAACUACACGACAUCCUCGAAGUCACUAAACCUUCCAGCUUUAUCACAUUCGGAUGAUCCAAACGACGCAGAAUAAGAAUCUCUCUGGCCAUGAACUUCACACUCUCGGGCUCCAAAUUAUCAAACCGAACCUUCUUUAGCGCAACAAUCUUCCCCGUCAUAGUAUCCCUAGCUUUGUACACAUUACUGUACGUACCUUGCCCAAUCUGAUCACAAUUCACAAAUACAAUCAUAACUAACAAUGCAUGUUCAUAUCCAAAAUGAGUAACAUUGCCAAAGUUAGAAACCAAAGCUUACAACACAGAGAAAAAGACUCCAACUUUUUGCUUCCCUAUUCUAACCUCACACAAUUCCAUUUAUCCCUCAACCUCCAAAAGCAUUAAAUAAGCAAAACCUCUGUUAUCACAAAUCACCUUAUCAAGCUUCUCGAACGUGUCGGCGCGGCGCGGCGUCCAGCCAUUAAUAGCCUCGCCGGCGACGGCGGAGAGCCACGACGGCCAACCGGCGGCGACUUGCUCGCCGUGCAAAUGCUUCGGCGGAUUACUGUUCCUCGGAUUCGGCCUCGACGAUCGCCGCCGUUCGCCUCUCGGCCGCGAAGACCUCCUCUCCUCCUCCACCGCCACCACCUCCCCAUUCCUCACUUCCUCGCUCGCCUGUCCGCCGCUGCUGCUCACCUCCGCCGCCGCCUCCUUCUUCGGAACCCUAACCUCUCCGACCUCCGCCGCCACCGGAGGCGGCUUCGCCGCCGCGUCCCUCCCGAAAACGCAGCCCAUCAGUCAUCGAGUGUUGUCCAUUUCUUGCUGCAUUGUCAGCAAUGGAGUCGCAGAGGAGAGUAGGAGAAGAGGAAAAACCCUAAGCUCAAGGCUGGAGCUUUUGAUUGAAGAAGAAGAGGGCUUGGCUUUUUGGAGACAAAAGUGAAUUAGAGCAAUGAUUUUGGAAGCCACAAUUUGUGGGCAUCACUCCAAAACCACCAAAAAACCCCAAAAAAAAAAUAAUAAAAUAUUGAGCUUUUGCUACUACUACUGCUACUCUCCCACUACAGUUAAAUAAUGGUUUGUUUUUUUUUUUUUGAGGUUCAAAGAUUUGGUAGAGAGAAUGUUAGAAAAGAGAGAUUGUGUGUGGGUGGAUCUAUUUUUGGGGGGUCUUUUUCUUUUUCUUUUCUUUCUGUAAAUUUUGACUCUUUUUCUUUUUUGUGAUGUCCUAGUCUGAGUGAGUGAGUGAGUACCAGUGAGGUCAGGUCAAUUUGUGUUCUCUGUGAGACUGUGACUCUGGGAUGAUUGGGGUCUUGGCUAUGUGUUUGGCAGCAACUGGACUGGUUCUUGGCGAAUGAACGGCGGCCACGUGGGAGAAUGUUAUGUGAUACGGUGGGUGGUGUUUUGAGGUGUCUUUACGAUUGGAUGUGGUGGGUGAGAAGUUGAGAAAUGAGAACCAUGUCUUCUUUCAUUUGUCAACUCACUCAACUGUUCUCCUCAAGUAGUAAAGUGAAGGCUCAUCAUUUAGAAAUUUACCGUCUAUGUUGGUUCUUUUUCCGUCAAAAACAGUUUUACAUUCUCUAUUUGAGGUAAAUAUGACUUCUUUUGACACCUAGAAGGCUAGAGCCGGAAAAAUAAUAUAUGAAACAAACCGAGAACUGACAGUUGUAGUGCAUAAUUGCAACGGACGCCAAAAUAUUCGGACACAUAAGGAAAUAUUGAAGGUUUUGAUGGAUAAAAGCCACCAUUCACGACGCUAGAGUUAUGAGAGCAAUUUCACAAAUUCACAAUCUCACUUGCUCAUUCCUAUUUAACUCACAUUUUGUUUUAGACUAAUAUACUCAGUCAUUAAGAGCAACUUUAACAGACUCUCUAUUUUAGUUUUUAGCUAUUUUAGAGAGCGUAUUUAGCUUUUUUUUAUGUUUUAAGAGCUCCAGUAGACUAGCUAAACUUAAGCUAUUAUAACUUUUAACUAUCUGGCUAUCUAUAUUUAACUAGCGAGAUAGCUCAAAUGAGGCUAGCUAUAAUUUAUUACAUUCCUUGUAAGAUAUUUUAUGUGAUAUAUAAAUAUAUUUAAACUAUUUAAUUUCUAUUUGAAGGAUAAUGUUGAUGUAAUGUUAGCUAAAAUAGAGAGCAUUGAUGCAGCCAUAUUUCUAAAGAGGCUAGCCAAAAUGACAUUUUAGCUAAUUUGACUAAAAUUUAACUUAAAAAUGACUAGCAUUGCUAAAGAUGCUCUAAGAUAAUAGUACAACCCCAAUUACUAACACUUAUAAUCUAAUAUUUGAAUUCCGAAAGAUUUGAAAUGUACAUAAACGCCAUCAUAACAAAAUCGGCUCAACACAAACCAGAAGUCCAUUAGUUAAGCAAAAUCACAAUUUAUACAGAAUAAUCCACCUCUCUUUAUCCUCAUUUCGUCAUCUUCGCAUGCACCUAUGUUCAUGCAUUCACCAUACGAUCAUAGGAUUAAUGAAUAACAUAUACCAGCUAGUAAUAUUGGAAAAUUCACUUCCCGAAAAUCAUGUCUAAUUUCAAUAAAGCAUUUUUACUUUCGUUGACAAAUAUGUCUAAGGUUGGCUACCUGCUUGAUUCUCAUCCUCUCUCACAACCAAAAACAAGACACUCACCAAUCUUCUUAUUCUAAAUCCUAAAUCCUUGUUUCUUUUUUAUUGUUCUGAUUUUCUGGAUGCUUUUUUUCUUUCUAUCUUCUGAUUUCCUUACUUGAUGCUGCUUGUUUAAUAUAUGUGUACAAAUUAUAAACUAUUUCCGUGUUGAGAGUAGUCAUACUGAAUACUUGAAAGAAGCCAUUAACACUUGAUUCAGAUUCCAAAAAUGAAGACUUGCAAAUAAAACGAGGUAUCUCAAUUCCCUAGAAUAAUUUCCAUCUGCGAAUAAGAGCAUCUGAAUCAUAUAGCUUUGAGUCUCUGAUUCAAAAAUAGUCAUACUUUUUUAUUAUCUUGGAAAUCAAAUCACUGUUGACAUCAUACAAAUAAGGGGAGUUGUAUAAGAGCAUUAAAAAGAUGGGAUGUCGUAUGUGAUGUUUUUGGAUGGGAAGUUGUGUGAUUAAUGACACUUGAUUAUUUUCAAAGUACCUCGGCAACAAUUUCUUUUUAAUGCUCUAGUAACUCUCAUAUCCAGCUGAUCCAAAAGGAACAUUGGGAACACUUAGAGGGGAAGACAGUGAAACCAUAUUAACGGAGAGGAAAACAAAACCCAAGAGAAGUAACCCGGUUUGCAAUAAAGUUAGUUUCUCGAAAAAUAUGACGUAAUAUAUGGGAUUGAAAUAUGGAUGUCAACUAACGAAUAUCUCAAACAAGAGAUUUUAUACUUAGGGAGCACAAGCUUUACCCACAAGAUAUUUUAUGAGCAUCUUGAAGUCACUUUCAACUAGGGGUCAGCAAUGGGCCGGGCUUAAAUUGACUUUUUAUAUUUUUCAGGGCCUGGCCGGGCCGGGUUUCUCCAUAAAUACCAAGCCUCAAGGUUGCCCAUGGGCCGGGCCUCACAGGGCCAGUCGGGCCGGGCCUGACUGGUAUUUUAAAGGGCCGGGCUGGGCUUUUCUUAACAUGACCUAAAAAAACAACUUAGUCAAACAGAGACUACAUACAAAUUUCAAAACUCAAACAACUACCAAAUUGAUACACCCAUCAGAUUACUCAAAGUAAUAUCACAGUGAAAUCAAGUAACCCCAAAUGGAAAGAACAUCUCUCUUUAUUAUGCAGUUCGUACGUCAGAUCCUACAUUAGUUCCAACAUCAGAUCCUACAUACCAGUUCGAACAUUAGUUCCUACAUACCAGUUCAUCAAUUAGGAUAUAAGAGUGAACAGAAAAAUCAAUACCCAACUCGUUGAUGCCACUCAUUCUCAGCUAUCUACUCCUUCCACCACUUAAUAGUAUGCAAGUCAAGUUUCUGCAAUAAAGUCCAAGUAACAGAUUAGUUACAAGUAAGAAGAGAGUUUUAAUAAGAGACCAAACAACACAAACAAUUGUAUCCAUUUGACAUUUGAAACCUUUAGAAAAAUACAGUUGAGAAAAAACAAAGAGAUUGAUUAAAUAUAUGCAAAAAGAUUAGCACGUAUGCUAAUGCUGGUUAGGAAUUUAGAGACUCAAUUCCUUCUAGACAAACAAGCCUUGUAGUCCUUAACACAAAAAAGUAACCAGCCUAAGGACUUCAAAAGUAACCAAGCCUUGUAAUACAAAACACAAAAAAGGCAAAUGGUUACACUACAUCAAAUAAGUAACUAAGGGACUCCAUCAGACACAAUUUCAAUUUCAUCAUCACCAUUAUCUUCACUAGCAUCAUCACCAUUAUCUUCACUAGCAUCUUCAAUAUCAACCAUCCAAUCUGGUCUUGCAGCCUUUGCAUUCAUUAGUUCUUCAGCACAUUCCUCUUCUCGGGCUGCUUCUUGCAUUCUUGUACUUGCCAAGCUCUAAUCCUUCAAACAAACUAAAGCUUCUAUGGUAUUUAGACUUAGAGCAGCUCUCUUCUCUGAAACAACUCGACCACCAGCACUAAAAGCGGCCUCUGAUGCAAUUGUUGAUGCCGGUACACUCAAUAGAUCACGAGCCAUAAGUGAAAGAACAGGGUACAAUGUGUGAUUUGUCUUCCACCAUCCCAAAACAUUGAACUGAUUGUCAUCAUCCACCUCAAUUGUUGCUAAAUCAAGAUACACUUGUAAAUCAGUAGAGUUAGUGGAAGAACUAGAUGAUACCCUAGCCCAUUUCAAUCUUUGCAUGGAAAAAUUUUGAACUCUAGGAAUAUUUAUAGAUGUAGAUGUGGUUCCCAAAGGAGUAGGGACUCCAUCACUAGGUAAACUAGAUGCAACACUAGAAACUACAUUCCUCUUAUAGAUAUCAUAAUAUUCUUGCAAUAAAGUCUUAAUGGAUGUCAUUCUUGCAUCAAUUUCUAAUUGCUCAAGACCAAAACAUUUCAGCCACUCUUCAAUGGCUAAUAACUUG
rnacentral:lncRNA from 1 species